AUAUCCUUUUCCAUUUUAUUUAUGAAAAGAAGCAAAAACAAUAAUCCAAAAAAAGCUAAAAGAAGGCCAAAUCCUAAACAUAAAAAAUUAGUCUGGGACCAACUGACACCCGAUCCAUCCUACAACAAAACUCUUAUCUGAUUUUAUCAGUGUGAUAAAUAAUCUAUUUCUUCAAACAACACAUUAUCCAAAUCCUGUUGGCAAUGUUGCAUUUCCCUUUCCAUCAUGUUCAUUGUGAUUGCUUCACCGACAUUUUAGUGUCAGUUGAUGCUCUCUUUUCGGGUGUUGUCUUCUUCGAUCUUGGAUCUCUUUUAUAUGGUUAGCAACUAAGUAUUUCUCUCAUUUAUUUUCUUAUUACCCCUUGCUUUCCUCGUUGUUAUACUGAGCUUUUUCUCCGCUAGAUUAUUCUCUUCUACUAACCAAGUAUCUCAUGUUGAUCUAUCUCUGAUUGUGUUGUAACUCGGACUCCUUGCCCUCUUCCGUCUAGGUGCAAUUGAGUUUGCCUUCUGAUAAGCUGAUAGUGCUAAUUUUCAUGUAUUCUUAGAACUUUGUACCGCCCUCUGCUUACUUUUUGACUUGUUUCUUUAAUUUGUGGAUCUGACUCUGAUAGCUUUAGAUUUUUGUACCCUGACCAAAGCUCGCCUUAAUUCCAGAUCCUUUAUAUUAUUUUCUUUCUUCUAUGUAUAUACCUUUUUUUUCCCCUUGAAAUCUCUAAUGUAAUGAUCUGGCAUUACUAGUAAAGUUGAGAUUCUUAUUAGUUGUCAUGAUUCGAUUUAUUAGUUAUGAUGACACCUACUUUAUCUCUCGAUAAGCUCAAUUGUAGCCCGAAUCUAUAAGCAAAUGGGCUAAUUUGAUAGAAAAAAGUCUUAAAAGUAAAAAAUUUGCAAGUAAAGACUUACAAUAAUAAAUCUGAAAGAUACAUAAAACAUCAAUAACUAUCUCACGACCUAGUGGUGCCGGUACAAGAGCCACUAGAAGAAAGAAACAUAAGUACUAUAGUAGUUAGUAUUAUACAACCUAAUUUCUCACCUACUAUAACCCACCAGAAAGUAAGCAAAUCUAUAGUCCAGAACUACUGGUAACAGACUACCAAAAUAAAUAAAGGAAGAAUGUGGAAUAAAUAUAGUCUAAGACUAAAAUACAUAAGAUAGUUCCAAAACUCAGUGAAAUCAAUACAAGAACUUCUAAUAGAAUGAGGCUACAAAUGAAGUGCUAAAUGAAUAUAUUGAUACAACGUAUCUCCGAAUACAACAUAAAGAUUAGUCUAGCACAUAAGAGGGAGAAUGAUAAUACUCUGGAUGCCAGAAGCUUACCCUAUGUCUUCAAACCAUAGCUGCUUCGCACAAUGCACACAAUAACGAAGAGAACCCCUACUGUGUUCUGUAGGCUGCAGAAGUGUAAUAUGAGUAUCAAACACGUGGAACUCAGUAGGCAACUGCCAGUUGAGCUUCAAAGAUAAUGCAAAUAUAAAUAUCAUGCAAUCAGGAAUGUAAACUGCACCCAAAUACCCCCCUCCCCCCCUCCCCCCNNNNNNNNNNNNNNNNNNNNNNNNNNNNNNNNNNNNNNNNNNNNNNNNNNNNNNNNNNNNNNNNNNNNNNNNNNNNNNNNNNNNNNNNNNNNNNNNNNNNNNNNNNNNNNNNNNNNNNNNNNNNNNNNNNNNNNNNNNNNNNNNNNNNNNNNNNNNNNNNNNNNNNNNNNNNNNNNNNNNNNNNNNNNNNNNNNNNNNNNNNNNNNNNNNNNNNNNNNNNNNNNNNNNNNNNNNNNNNNNNNNNNNNNNNNNNNNNNNNNNNNNNNNNNNNNNNNNNNNNNNNNNNNNNNNNNNNNNNNNNNNNNNNNNNNNNNNNNNNNNNNNNNNNNNNNNNNNNNNNNNNNNNNNNNNNNNNNNNNNNNNNNNNNNNNNNNNNNNNNNNNNNNNNNNNNNNNNNNNNNNNNNNNNNNNNNNNNNNNNNNNNNNNNNNNNNNNNNNNNNNNNNNNNNNNNNNNNNNNNNNNNNNNNNNNNNNNNNNNNNNNNNNNNNNNNNNNNNNNNNNNNNNNNNNNNNNNNNNNNNNNNNNNNNNNNNNNNNNNNNNNNNNNNNNNNNNNNNNNNNNNNNNNNNNNNNNNNNNNNNNNNNNNNNNNNNNNNNNNNNNNNNNNNNNNNNNNCCCCAAAAAAAUAGGAUAAAACUAAGGAAAAAAAUAAGGUUAAACUAUCCUAUUCUAACCAUACUCAGGAACCUAAGCACCAUACUGUAUAUAACUGGCCAUUAUAUUAAUAAAAGCAUAAGAAAGAUGUAUAUAUUUGUAUACAAGAUCAAAGAAUGGAUAUACAAUAUGAAUAAAUGAAAGAGGGGAGGGAUAUAUGAUAAUACCAUAAUUACUUUAGAUAGAUACAAACACCUGAUCAAGGCUAACUUAAAGUUACAAUCUAAGUAAUCACACUAGCAUCUGAAGGCCUCCUAAUCAAAGUAGGAACUAGUGUUAAAAUAACUAGGACCUAAAACCAUAAUACCUAAACUUGGGAUGAUUAUGAAAAACAAAAUAACCGUAAGAUAAAGAAAUCAGAAUCAUACCUCAAAUCUCAAUACCAGUCCAAUAAUCAAUCUAUCACGAACUAACUAUAAUAACAAUAACAAUAUAAAGUAACCAGCUAGUCUGGACAACUAAUAUCUAAUCGAACCUUUUAUAAACCACCACUGACAUAGGCUCGAUGGCUCGCAAAGGCAGGAUCUACGAAGACCUCUCUUCUCUGUUACAAUGACUCAUGGACGAAGUGGCCCCUAGGGGGUUUGGAAGUACUCAUAUACACCGACUUGGUCCUGAUCCAAGAUUUUCAAUAACCAUCAUCAUCAUUAGUUUACUUUUCUAGUACCAUAUAUAUAUACAUACAUACAUACAUAUAAAAUACACGAACUAUAACCCUGGCUAAAUCAUCAUAAAAAUGUCAAAAGCAUCAAAAUCUAUCUCAAUUGAGGUAAAUAGUAAUAGCAAAAUCGUGGAUCGAAAUAUGUCUUGAUCAAAUCUCUAAAACAUCAUUUCUCAAAGGCUCAUAAUUUAUUCAUUAAAAUGGUAUGAUUCUCGUUAAGAAGAAACCCAUUUUAAAAGUGAAAAGUGGGAACAAAUUCCUUUUUAGAAAAAGAGUAGUAAAAUUAUAUUUCAGUUGAAAUCGUACCAUUUACUAUCUAAGUGAUCAUGUAUGUACCAAAUCUAUGCAUGCCAUCAUCAGUAUCCAAACAAUACAAUUAUAAGCACCAAUCUGUAUAUAAACUACAACCACUUUCUUUACAAGGAUAAAACACUUCUCAAAAUCCAACCAAUAUCAUUAACAUGGUUUUGGGCCCAAUAAUAUAUAUAUCCGACAUAAACAUACCAUCAUAAUCAAAUGUGUAACAUAUUUAAACCUUAUACUAAAGGGUUAUUAGCCUCAAUUAUUCCUACCAUGUUAACAACCUAGGUUAAUAGGAUCCUAGAAGCAUAAUAUGUAUUUCACCUUAUGGGUCGAUCCACCCUCCUAAUUCCCGAACUCAUAAAUUAGGAUAAGUCAGGUUGUUUUACCCAAAUCACAUCCUAACAUCCCUAUAUAACAUGCAAAAUAUAUAAUACACUAUCUCAUGAAAAAGAGUAGACAAAAGCCUAUCUUGAUGACAAACCACAAUUUCUUGAAUAGCCCAUAAAUCGUUUGUCUUUGCUACACGAUCUCCAAUUUUGUCAUGCUAUCAAAAUAGUAAUCUAUAGAUCUUCGAGAGUAAAAUAUGACCCAUAUUUCUGUAUUAUUAGUCUAGUCAAAUUUCGGGUUAAGAACGAGCCUGUGGGACCUACAAAUGAAAUCCAAAAUUGAACCCAUCAUGAGGUUCCUCGAAGGACAAUAAAUUUGUGCUUAAAAGUUCAUCACAAGUGGAGCACAAAUUAGGUCUCAAAUCAACCCUCAAAAUUAGCAAUUUAAGACCUAAUUUCUAAGAAUUUUACUAUAAAUUAGGAUGCAAAUUCAAUGGGAAAUGAUCAAGAAGAUUUAGGUUCGCUUGCCUUAACUUAUGUGUCUUUGAGCCCUCAACUUAGUGUAAAACUGGUGGAAUAAUUGAUAGAAAAUUGUGAGAGGAAAAGGGCAUUUAAAUCCACUAGGUUUCGCUUAAGCAAUCACCCUAUUGCUUAAGCGAGGCCCUGGCAUUGCUUAAGCAAGGCCUUGGCAUUGCUUAAGCGAUUUGGAAAGCCUGGUUGGGUAUCACUUAAGUGACUCCUAGGCCGCUUAACAUAUGCCCGCUUAAGUGGAAAAGGCAUCGCUUAAGCAGUCAUUGGCCAGAUGGUCAAUGUCAUUGACUAUUUUAAAUUGUAUAAAAUUUUUGUUGCUCGUACUCUGUCAAAUUUUACUAUAGUUUAAGAUAUCGUCCCACAGAGAUUGAAAAAUCUAUGCUACAAAUUUGUAUUAUCUUGAUUACUAUUUGAGAAUCAAAUUGAUAAAAGGAGAGUAACUUCUAAAGCUUUUUUAAAAAAAUAUGUAAAGAAAUAGUGUUUAAAGAUUAUCUUGAAGAGGAAGUUGAUGGUUGUUGAAUUCACUUGGUAUGUUUAUUAUAAUAAAAUUAUUAUUUUAUUGAUUUCUAUAAAAUUGUAGAAUAACUUUCUAGACUUGAUUUAUGUGUUCAUGAGGAAUAAAGACCCCUUGCGAGUAAUCUUUAAAUCAAUAAACAUACUUGAGACAAUCUCUCCGCGAGGAUACAGAUUGAAAGAAAUAAGAUAAAGAUCCCUCAAAUCAACAAUCUUAUUUGAGUCAAUCCCUCCGCGAGGAUACGAAUCGAAACAAAUAAGAUAGAGAUUAUUUAAAUUUAAGAAAUAGUUCAAAGUAAUCCUUCCGUGAGGAUAAAGAUCAAAAGAAGCAAUUUCAAAGAUUUGAAAUAACAAGUGACUAAAAAUUAUUAUUACUUAUAUUUUAUGAAAUACUUAUAGUAUAUUUAAUUUUCUUCCUUGUGGGAAGCACAACUUAAUAUAACUAUAACUAUAAUAUAAAAUAUCAAGUAACACUAAUUUCUAGUAUAAGAAUCUCAACACGAAGUAUUUACCUUUUAAAUAAAAUCAAGUCUUGAAAGAACUAAAACAAGAUUUAUAUUAUAAUAUUAUACCAAGUUUCUUCAAGUCUCCCAACACAAAGAAGUUACUCCAUUAUGGAGAAAUUAAUAAAAAAAAGAAAAAAAAUAUUAUUCUACAAAAGAAAAAGAAAGAAAGAAAAAGUAAACAAGACUAAUUCUUAUAUAUUGUUUAUGUUGUUGGAUACUUAAUGAUCAAAGAAAUGCCUUUAUUUAUAGAAAAUNNNNNNNNNNNNNNNNNNNNNNNNNNNNNNNNNNNNNNNNNNNNNNNNNNNNNNNNNNNNNNNNNNNNNUUCACUUGUUUCAUUCUUUCACUUGACGGGUGUGAGAAUCUUUUGAAGUGGUGGUUGUGACGGUCAUCUUAUAACUCUUCUCAAAACGUUCACUUGUUUCAUUCUUUCACUUGACGGGUGUGAGAAAUUUUUGAGGUUACACCCGUGGAUUUUUUUUUAUUUCUUUAUUUCUUCUUUUGUAUUCUACUUCCUGUAGAAUUUGUCAGAGAAUAUACAAUAAUAUAAUAUAUUUAUUUAUAUUUAUUUAAAAUAAUUAAUAUUUAAUAUAUAAAAAUAUAUAAAUAAAUAUAUCCAUCAAAUACCCCCACACUUGAAUCUUUGUUUGUUCCCGAGCAAAGGACAAAAUAAAACAACAAUUAAAAUUUUAAGUAAUAAAAUUAUUAGAUAAAAUAAAGUUUAAUAAAGACUACAUCAUGAGUUCAAAUGAAUUUAGUCGCACUCAUAUUCACCUAUUGAGAAUCAAAAUUAUAAUAUUUUUUUUUCCAGUGUAUCUCACCAAAUGAAGAGAGAUGCCCAUAAAUCACACAAUAAGAUAGAGAUUAUUUAAAUCUAAGAAAUAGUUCAAAGUAAUCCUUCCACGAGGAUAAGGAUCAAAAGAAGCAAUUUCAAAGAUUUGAAAUAACAAGUGACUAAAAAUUAUUAUUACUUAUAUUUNNNNNNNNNNNNNNNNNNNNNNNNNNNNNNNNNNNNNNNNNNNNNNNNNNNNNNNNNNNNNNNNNNNNNNNNNNNNNNNNNNNNNNNNNNNNNNNNNNNNNNNNNNNNNNNNNNNNNNNNNNNNNNNNNNNNNNNNNNNNNNNNNNNNNNNNNNNNNNNNNNNNNNNNNNNNNNNNNNNNNNNNNNNNNNNNNNNNNNNNNNNNNNNNNNNNNNNNNNNNNNNNNNNNNNNNNNNNNNNNNNNNNNNNNNNNNNNNNNNNNNNNNNNNNNNNNNNNNNNNNNNNNNNNNNNNNNNNNNNNNNNNNNNNNNNNNNNNNNNNNNNNNNNNNNNNNNNNNNNNNNNNNNNNNNNNNNNNNNNNNNNNNNNNNNNNNNNNNNNNNNNNNNNNAUUACUCCAUUAUGGAGAAAUUAAUAAAAAAAAGAAAAAAAAUAUUAUUCUACAAAAGAAAAAGAAAGAAAAAAAAAGUAAACAAGACUAAUUCUUAUAUAUUGUUUAUGUUGUUGGAUACUUAAUGAUCAAAGAAAUGCCUCUAUUUAUAGAAAAUCAUAAUGUUGAACCAACGAAUGCAUUCUUUAAAAUGGUGGUUGUGACGGUCAACUUAUAACUCUUCUCAAAACAUUCACUUGUUUCAUUCUUUCACUUGACGGGUGUGAGAAGCUUUUGAAGUGGUGGUUAUGACGGUCAACUUAUAACUCUUCUCAAAACGUUCACUUGUUUCAUUCUUUCACUUGACAGGUGUGAGAAUCUUUUGAGGUUACACCCGUGAAAUUUUUUUAUUUUUUUAUUUCUUCUUUUGUAUUCUUCUUCCUGUAGAAUUUGUCAGGAAAUAUACAAUAAUAUAAUAUAUUUAUUUAAAAUAAUUAAUAUUUAAUAUAUAAAAAUAUAUAAAUAAAUAUAUACAUCAGUCAUAUACACGAUGACCACUUAAGCAGUCAUAUGAUUGCUUACGCGGUCGUAUCAGUAUCCUGAUGCACCAGAUUUUGCUAAGUCUAUAAUGGACUUCGAUUGGGUGCUUGGGAUUCAUUUGGAACCCUAUGCGUGCAAAUAAAAUAUACUAUCGUACCAAAUUCGAUGUUUCGGACUCGAUGAAACCAUUAAAAUUUUCAUUCGAGAUCAUUUCGACCAAGUGUGGUGCCCACACCUAUAAGUCCAAUUUUUUUUUACAUAAUUCGCCCAAUAGCCCAAGAUGAGUUUGAAAGCCUCGUAGACCUGAAUCAAGGGUCUCCUUAACCUAAAAUCAACGUUCCGAAUCUGAUGAUGCUAUCAAAAUUCUCAUCCGAGGUCAUUUACUAGUAGUUUUGGCCUGAGACAAAAUUCUAAAAAGUGAAAGCUCUAAAAUAAGUAAAUGAGCCUAUAAUCCAAACAAAUUAUUCGAUAAUCGAAUGGAUAGUUCCAACAAGUCAUCAAUGACCAGUAGCCUCUGUGGGAAUGCUCGAACCAUUGUAAAUGCAUGAAAAUCGAGGAAAUAACCUAGAGAGUCAUUACAAUAUCAACUACUAAAAGGACUUUCAUCUGUAAAUGUUAAUAGAUAGAAAGAUCACAAAAGCUCGAAGGGAUGAAAGACUGGGCUCGUAUGUUUCAAGCAUGAAUUCCCAAAUAACCUCAAAGAAAAAAUGAUGCAUCCAAGGAAUUUUUUCACAGGUAUCCCUUUUCCAACCAACUUCCAUACUUCUCUAAAAUAACGAAAACUUAAGCUCAACCACCAACUGAAUUAAGGAAGGCUGAAGCACGCGAAUUCAAAUAAUGACACAUUGAUACCACAUUGAUACCAACACAAUCUGACAAAAACUCAUCCAAGAUAAUGGAAAACCAAGGCAUGAGUAAUGCAACCAACUCCGAAUCCAAAUAUAACCUUCUGUUGCCUUUCCAAAGCUGCUAUCCACUCAAAACUAAGCAGAAAGUCACUCGAGUCCUGCUCGUUCAACUCCAUCACACUAACCUUAAAGAACUAAAGAUGGUCCAAUGAAAAUCCAAAAUUUUUGACAAAAAUUAAAAAUUAAGGUUAAGGCUAAAGAAACCAAAAUCGUUCCAAUGGACCACCAUCUGAACAUCGAUCAACCACAAACUACAUUAACUGAAGAAGACCGAGUAGGUAGACAAGGAGUAGGCUUAGACAACCUAUAGAUGAAAUCCCAACUAAGGCAAAUCUAAAAACAAAGGCUACACCCAAACUCUACAACUUUCUACUGAAAAUCUCAACACCAAGGCUAAAGCGCUUAAUAUCUACUACCUAAACUAAGCCUAAAGAUAGGUAAGCGUUCACACUUCAAAUCAAUCAUAACCUCUAAAUCACCAUUUAAGAGCGUCAAAUUCAAAAUUGAUCCACUUAUAUUUCCCAAACUAUACCCUUUAAAAAGAUAUAAUACGAUUGCUGUCAAAUUAUGGUAACCCAACUAGGUUAGGGUGUUCCCAUAAAGAAUAGGUCGAAUCUGUCUCUUAAACUUGUUGAAGUAGUCGGAAGUGCAGAAAAGUAAAUGGGGGGAUUUUGUAGUAAACAGUAAAAAGUAACAGGUCGUGAAUGCCUUUGAUAUUUUAAUAAUUUGAGAUGAACACUAGGACUAUGUUCCCAUGGCUUCAUAGCUCCGUAGGUUUAUCAUGAUCAAUUCGACUAUCUCACUGCCACAUAUGUAGAAUCUAAUAUGCUAGGAUAAAUCUCACCUUUUACCUUGUGAGUCUUAGAGUGUCACCUUAUUAACCCUUGUUUUUUAUCCCAGUUUAACUAUUAACUUUUGGGUAUCAAGUUAUUAGAUGAGGGUUCAUAGCCUCGAAUUAUUGUUGUAACCUUCUUUUUGUCAAUCUCAAUCUCUCUUGUGAAGACUAUAUUGAAUACAAGUAUUUUCUCAACAUUGUCCAUUGUUAAUAAAAUAAUUAAACUGAAGAAGAUCACAAUGCAAGUGUAAAAAAUAAUCUAGAAGAACCUCACCUUCCCUUACUUUGUUAUUCCGUAGGUUCCCAUAACCCAAGCUAAGGGAUUUAACUGCUAAUAGUUACAAGAAACACCAUGGAAUUAAUAAAGAAAACAUAGAGGUAAUCUCACAACAAUAGAAGAAUAAAACCCAAAGUCUCAAAUUAAUUAAUCAACCCAAAACAAAGAACACAAGAAUUCGAAGAUAAAAGUCAAUCUUGAAAUCAAUAUUUGCUUGUGAAUAAUACGAGUGUAUAAAAGUUCAUAAACUAAAGUUCAUAAACUAACUCAAUAACAUCAUAAGAUUAUUCUUAGAUUACAUAACAACCCUGGAAAUCUAAACCAAAACAUUCAGGAAAAACUAAUUCGGUGGCCACUUAUGGGCCGUAAAUGGCACCUACGCCACAUAGGUGGCUAUCGUAGGUGACAUGCUUCUCAAAUCUUCAGUAAUUUCUCAUGCACUGGUACCUACGAGGCAUAAAUGGUACCUUCAUCCCAUAGGUUACUUCCUCAUAAGUACUAAAGGAUCCUUAAUCCUCAGCUUCUCUGAUCUUCAAUGUUUUACAACUUACGUGACUUAGGUGCUCCAUCGUAAGUGGCACUUACGUGCUAUAUAUGCUCAUUCGUCAGUGUCAGAUCAAGACUUCACUUUUAUGUUUUCUGAAUUUAGUUCUUCUGAGACCUAUGAAAUCUACCUACGCCAUAUGAGUUUCCUCAUAAGUAAGCUUUUCUGCUAUCUUGACUCUUUUUCUUCAUGUUAAGCUUCAAAACCUAGUUCCCUACAAAAUAGACACAAAGCCCAUCAUAUCUACCAAAACAAACCUAAGUACUUGCAUAUUUUUUGGUUUUAAGCAUCGAAAGUACCAUGAAACCAUGACACAUCAACACCCUCAACUUAGAAUAUUUUCAUAUCCCCUACGUCAAAAACACAACAAAACAUAACAACGAUGCUUAACUAAGAAACACCUAAGAUACUUAUAGCAGUCAAUCUCAAAUUCAACUAAAAAAUAUCACCCCUUAUAUUUUUAAUCUUUUCAAACCCAACUGUGUGAAUCAAUGCAACCCAAUAAUGUAACAUAAGGGAAUCAAUCUAUGGCAUUAAUCAACCACACAUAAUCAAGCAUAUAUACAAAUUUCACUACCCAAAUAGAUAAGCAGCUAGUAACACAACCAGUGUACCCUCAUAAUAAAGAAGUCCCACUCACUUAGGAGAAUAAUGCAUGUUAAUGCAGGGACAAUCACGAGACACUCACACAGUCACAAAGAAGUUUCAUCAAUGUCACAGAAUACCAUAGGCUUACCCUUAUUUUCUUUAGCUUAGGUUUUGGACAGCCGGACUAGGAUCACUAUAGGACUUUACUCGGCUUGUAACAUAGGCUUGGGGGAUGGUAUGGUACAUUUAGUGACUAAGUUUCCUUAGCACUAAAUUAUGUUAGGGGUCCACUUAUUAACUAAUUUUUCUUUUAUUCCGCCCUUAUUUCUCCUUUUUCCCUUUAUUGCUUAUUUAGGCUGGGUGCGGUCUCUUUUAUUCUUUUUUUUUCUUUUUCAAAUCCAUAUUUUUUUCUUUUUUUUCUUUUUCUACCAUACCCAACCCAAAUUUCUUCUCUCUUAUUUACACCCUUUUUUCUAAUCACACACCCCUAUGAUAGCCACUCUCAACUUAGACAAUUUACCUGAGUUGAGGUGCACAGUGUCCAAGGAGGACCAAGGCCAAAAUAGGUUCAUUGUAACUAAAAUGAGAAGGUGAAUAGUAAGAACAUGAAAAAUAGUCUAUCUAGGCUUAAACAAGGAUAAAGGGAUACUUAUUCACGUUUGGAAGGUCGUUUAGAAUAAAAGUGGACUAAUUCAAGAACAACCUAUGAUCAUUUACUAAUCGACUAUCCUAUAACCUAGGCAAGACUAAUCAGGCAAGUUCUAGAUUCAACACACAAUGGGAAUUAAGUAAGCAUCUCACACACAUAUGGAGCAGGGUUGCCUUAUAAACUACUACCUAGGAAAAUGCUAGCUAUGAUUAUUAGGUCCCUAAUCCUAAUGCUAUAACAAAAUUCAUAGCAGUCACAUACAUAAGCACAUCACACAGUUCAAAACAAAUUAGUUUUUUGGAGGGGUAUUAUUUUUUCUCACAUAUUUAAGCCCAAUUAAAAAAAAAUAAAUCAACUGCCCUUAGGUACUUAUUUUUAUCCUUGUUAAACAAAAACAACACAAAACAAUACAGAAAAACACAAUACGUCCUAGAUAUGCCGGCUUUACUAAGGAUAGAUUCUAGGGAAAAGAGACACGACAAAAAAAAUCCCUAAGAGGACAUCUCGACCACAAGUAGACCCACCCACAUUGAAUAUACAUGCAUUGUCCCCAAUGCAUUAAGCCACUGCAAAGUAAGAGGGUUAGGAGCAUACCUGUAAUACCUUAGGUGCACAGAUUUGACAUCAAUCACACUAACAUGCAUUAAUACAAAUGCAAAAAUAACAAAAAUACCUUGGGUUGCCUCCCAAGUAGCACUUGAUUUAACAUCACGGCAUAACGCGGGUACCUUGAUUACUCAAAAUUUAUCAAGGUAUCCAAAGGGUUAGCCUCUAGGGUCAUCAUCAUAACUUAUCACCAAAACCACCCCCAUGUCAGUCAGUUGCUUCAUGGUUUUGCGAACAUUAAAUAUGACCUCCUCAUCAUUCAUCCUGAACUUAAGCUCCCCUUUCUCCGUGUCCACCAAUGCUCUACUUAUGGCAAAAAAUAGUCUUCCCAAAAUUAUAGGCAUCUCAAAAUCAACUUCACAAUCCAAGACAACAAAGUCGCCCAAAAAGAUAAAGUUGUCCACCUUUACCAAACAUUAAAUGAUAUACCUACAGGCUUCUUCACUGUACAAUUUGCCAUCAACAAAUACAUUUUUAUUAGUUUAGGAGGUCUCAAGCCCAAAUGUUUGAACACUUCCACUGGCAUCAAGUUAAUGCUGACACCCUAGUCACACAGGGCUCUAACAAAUCUAGGUGUCCCAAUGGUGCACAAAACCAUGAAAGCUUUGGGAUCAUCUUUCUUUUUUGCUAGAGAUCACGAUGUAAUCUCACAACAAUGAUGCAACCCACCAAGUCCUCAUAACUGACAACUUUUUUCUUUGUCACCAAAUUCUUUAGAAAUUUUGAGUACCCAAGAAUCUGCUCGAGAGCUUCAAGAAAAGGUAUAUUCAAACUCAACUCUUUCAGCAUAUGAAUAAAAUUUUUAUAUUUCUUUUUUUUGUCUUUUGCUUCAAUCUUUGCAGAAAGAUGGGGGAGGUCGUGGAAUGGUUUUCACUACAGGCUUGACUUUAUUUCCCUUUUCUUUAUCCUUUUCAACAUUCUUAUCAACACCCAUCAUUUUUUAUGAUAACUCACCACUAGUCACCAACUUUUUAUAUUCCACUUCGGGUGUCACAUCAAUAUCAACCACAUUAUUCUUUGGAUCAUCAACCACAUAUAUAGGGGGAUCAAUAGUAGCUUUACCACUUUGAGUGGUGAUGGAUAGACAAUAACCAUCUUUCUUUGGAUUUAGCACAGUGUUGCUCGAAAGAGUACCCGGUUGAUGCUGAUUCAAUGUGGAUGACAUUUGCCCAAACUAAUGCUUGAGCUGUUUGAUCGCAGUAGCGUGCGGUUCUAUAUUUUGGCUGAGUCCCAAAAUUCUGCCAUAAUCUCCUUAAGGCAAUUUUGUUGACUUUUUUGACCUUUACUAACUUUGACAAUAUAGCCUCUAUUCUAGAAUCAGUAUCUCUAUUCUCUAUCAAAACGUAAACCCCACUCUUCUCCUUGUAGUCAUCCUUACACCUCAAGUCAUCAUCUUUUUCUCUACUCCUAUCCCUAUGUAUAUCCCCAUAGUAGUUUCGACCUUGGUUCCUUUGCCUCGAGUUCUAAUUAUCUUGACCAGAUGAUUGACCCUUGGCUUGAAAACCCACUAACUCUCCAUCCAGAUACUUUGCUUUUUCAUCCACAUCAGAAUCAUAUAACCUAAAAACUUUACCUUGUACGCCCACAACAUUCACUAUUUCAGAAUUCAUAGUUGCAAACUACUUUGUCAGUAACCUAAUCUCCAUCCUCAGUUGUGCAACCUCUUGAGCCACUGAAUUAUCUAUGAAUCUAUGCUCACCGGAAUCACCAUUGGCAUAAGUGCCAACACCUCUUUUUUCCUUCGAGUAUGGCACCCUUAGUUGGUAAGAGAGAUCUAAUAUAAGAAAUUUGAUGCUUCUUCCCAAUUCAGGUUCAUGAAUGCUCCAUCAGUAAUACUAUCCACCAUAGCUUUGGAACUAGUAUUCAGGGCAUGAUAGAAAAUCUCAGGAGAUUUCUUCCCAAAAUUUGGUGAUUAGGUAACAUUAUCAACUUUUUCUUAAAUCUAAAUCAUGCCUCAUAUAUUGGUUCAAAAUACAUUUGCCUGAAGUUAUAAAUCUCAUCCUUCAAUUGUAGAAUUCUAUCCAGAGAAAAGAAACGGUAUAAAAACUACUUCUGUAACUCAUUCCAGGUAGUAAUGGACCCACGAGGUAGUUCCCCUAACCAUAAUGUAGCUUCACCAGUUAGAGAGAAUGGGAACAAUUUGAGUCUCAACACUUCCUGAUAUGCCUAAGGUUUAACACCCCGAAUCUGGUACUUGAAAUGCUACAUGGUGCUCAUGACCUCGAAGGACCAUAAGCUAACUCAUGACUGAUAUCUGUACCUGAACAUUGGAUAAUGUACGUAUAUAAAUGCGGAAACAAAGCUGUAAGGCCAUAAGGUUCAAAUCUGAAACAUAAAAUCUGAUAAAAUAAUGUUUAAAUGGGGUGUAAAAUUAUCCAAAGCUAAAAUAAACUAUCUGAACAUACUAUAGUCUAAAAGCCUCUAAACUGUCUGAAUAAUGAGUUGAUGGGACAUAUCCUCAACUCACUCCAACUACUGAAAUGAACUAGGUACUAAAAUGAUAAAGUAAUAAUCAUGUCCUCAAAGGAUGAGGACUCACUGCUAACUCUGACUACUAGAUACUGGAAUGCUACUGAUGUUCUGGUGCUCAAGCUUCUGAACCUAUGGUGUAAAGUAAAACACCAUAGCGCAAAUGUGUUAGUACGAUUAAAUGUACUGGAAUGCAUGUGAGGUAGGCUGAAUGCAACGGUUCAUAUGCAUGAACAAUAAUAAAUGACUGUAUAACAUGAAUAUAAGAAUACAUGCAUGAAUAAGUAACUAUAACUGAGACCAUACUGACAUUGGGUACUGAGUUCUGAGUACUGAUUUACUAACAUCUGGGUUUAUUGAUACUGAUAAAUGAGUCUACUAAAUACUGGGAAAACUGAUGGUAUAUUACUGAUAGAGGAAUGCUUGUUUCUAACAGUUUUGAUUAUGAAGAAUUGGUCUGAUUGACUGUCUCAAUCCUGAAACUGAUUAUUAGUAACAUGAGUUACUUAUAACUGACACUAUUGAUAUAACUGAGAUAAAUGGUAUAACUGAUAUAAAUGAUACUGAGCGACUAUAUCUUACAGUCUAUGUUCUGAUGGAACUAGCUGAGUUUCAUACUGUUUUGAGAUGACUGUAUCUGAUAGUCCUGAAUUCUGUAGAACUAUCUGAGUUCUAUUACUGAGAUUGAAUAACUGUAUUUGGUAGUCCUGAUUCUGUAACUAAAACUGUGGGAAGUAGUUAUCUAACCGACAUGCCCAAAAUAAUCACAAUAUAGCUGAGUUGGGGUCCAAUCAAUAACCCUAAUUGGAAAGGUGUCAAUACCGCGCCACUGAUAAGGACAAUCUGUGAGUAACCCUCAUAUAAUAGGUAACUCUAGUGAGAAUGGUCGAAACCCUUAUAUAAUAGGUUAAGCCACCUCAUCUACCCUCAUAUAACAGGCUAUGAUGUCUCAACUUAUGCUGGCUACGUAGUUCAGGAACACAAGGAUUGCUUCUAAGAAUCACACCCUCAUAUAAUAGGUGAGUUCCUAUCCUUGAGUUCGCUCGGUGAUAAUUCCUACUCCCAUCUGAAUAGACACUAAACAUAAUUAAAUGAACUAAACUAGACUGAUUUUAUGGAGUUCUAUUGACUGAUGAAAUACUACUGAGAUUUUUGAAUUUACUGAGAUUUCCUGAGUCACAUAGCUGACUGAGUUCUAUGGAUCAUUGCUUGAUUGAGGAUAUCGUGAAACAUGACACUGGCUCUAGGUACACAACUAUAUUUUUUGGGUACAAUUACCCCCAGGACUAGAUAGAAGGAAACUGACAAAGCAUGACUUUCUUGAAUACAUGCCCAACAUCAACAAUUCAUAUACAAUAUUAGAGGAUAUUUCAUGAAGCAUAUGGUUAUCAUAAUCUUGUAUAUAACUUAGAAUGCACAUGAUCAUGUCUUAACUUUAUUAUUUUAAAAUCAUGAUUAUAUCAUCACGCAAUUGCAUUACACAACAAUCCUCAUGGAAAUUAUUUUAAACAUAGGGGAACACAUACACUCAUAACUUGGGUCAUAGUCUAACUGUCAAGCAUAAUUUCUAUUCUCCUAGGCAUUUUAUCAAACACUUAGGUUGUAUGAUUGAAGACUUAGGCAUGAGCAUGAAUUUAAUACAACCUUACUUCGCAAUUCAACCCAAUUUCAUGAUUUUAGUCCACAUAUUAGCAUAAUUUCAUUAAGACAUAAUAAAGGUUCCAUCUUGGAAUUCAUACAAUAACAACACAUGAACAUAAUUCAAUUCAAAGAAUGAAUAUCACAAUUCGUAAUUUAAAACUUAAUUCUUGGGCUUCAUGGACUAAAGGAGUCCAUGAAUGAACAUGAUGCAUACCUUAGAUGAAAGAGUCUUGAUGAUUCACGGAGAAAUUUGCUUGAACUUGGAUCCCCAAUUUAAAACCCUAAUGUGUUCUUGAGAGGAUUUUGAAAGAAUAGGGUGUAUUUUGGUGUAAACGAGGCUUAAUCUGGUGUUUAAGACUUAUAUAGGGUUGGGAAAUUACCUCUUUCCCCUUAAAAAUGCAGACAUUUAAUGACUAAAUGAUUGAGCACCAACCCAGUGAGUGAUGCGGUGCGUCGGGAUGCGAUGCUAUACCCAACUCGGUGCGCCAUGAACACAUCGAGCCUCAGUUGUUUUGGCUCUAGAAGUCUACACAACUGGUGACCAAUGCGAUUGGUGAUGCGGUGCACCAAGAUCGCGUUGGUCCACUAUUUUGGACUUCCAAUCUUGUCUAAACGAGUUUCUAAAAAAUCCAAAACUUGUCCAGGAACACCUAUUCACCUUCUUGAUCAUGAUCAAUAAAAAUACGAACCAUUAAAUGAUAUUAAGGUGGCAAAAUAAAUUUUCCAACUUUUGAAGGACAAAAUUAAGCUAAGUCUGAAAUGUAGCUAAAAUUUCUAAGUCUAGAACCCCCUUGACACGCUUAAAAGACUGUAUUAAGCUUUAGAAUUUUAUGGGGUCUUAUAAUAUCUCCCCUUUGAGAAUAUUCUUCCUCGAAUGAGACUGAAUGAGAGGGGAGAAAUGAUAAACUAAAACACAUACUGAGCAUGAACGAUUGGAACAUGAUUUCAUGACUGACUUGACUGAUAUUUGAAUAUAUCAUACUGAACAUGCAUAUCUAAUGCAUGUGUAACUGUUUCAUGAAUGCUUGACUAAGUGUUCUAAUAAGCUGGGUUUUCUCAUAAUGAGAAUGCAUAUCUGAUGCAUAAAUACAUAACUGACAUGAUACAUGAUUGAUUAUGCAAUGAUACUUAAGACCAAGUUUAUAACAGAAUUCUGAGCAUGAAACUGAAUACCAAGUUGGUAAUGAAAUUGAACAUGUAAACUGGGUAAGCUUAAGGAAAGCUUUUAUCUUGGACUGAGUUUGAAUUAGCAGAGAAGAGGUGAGGAUACUUGGUACACAUGUCUGCUUUUUCUUCCCAAGUAGUUCCCUCAACAGACUAAUUCCACCAAAGAACUUUGACUAGAGGGACUUCUUUGUUCCUUAGUUUGUUAAUCUGGUAGUCUAGGAUUUUGACUGUGAUUUUCCUCAUGAGAGAGAUUGUUCUGAACAUCUACACUCUGAAUAGGGACUACAACUUUUAGGUUACCUAUACACUUCUAGAGUAAAGAGACAUGGAAAACUGGAUGAACUGAGGCUAGAUCUGAAGGCAACUCGAGCUUAUGAGCUAUCUUGCCAUAACAACUAAGAAUUUUUGAAGGGACCAAAAUAUAAAGGACUGAGCUUUCCCUUCUUGCCGAACCGCUUCACUCUCUUCAUGGGAGAGAUCCCUCGAUACACAUAGUCACCAAUAUUGAACAUGCAUAAAUAGGAACAUGAGAACAUAGUUGAGUCCGUAAUGGAUGUCAUGAACUAAGUCUGGAAUGUAAUGCAUGAACUGAAUACUGUGAACUGAAUAUCAUAAAUUGAAUCAAGCCUCCAAAUACAUGGAUCAUGGCUAAGAUUAGAACUUAAGGGUUAACUUAUGAGUAUCCCCUACUCCAAACUGGAUUCAUUACAUAAAGAGAGAAUAUGAUGCUCAUGUUAUGAAAGUUUGGGGGAUUAUAGUGUAUCUCCCCCUUGGGACACUAUGUUCCUCAAAGAAUACUGACUUGUAUGAGCUGCUGGGGAAGCUAAAGCGAUGCACAAGGCACCUACGAACUGAGUCUUAACUGAAUAACUGGGAUCUAAAAUUGAAACAUGAUACAUGAACUAAGAUGAGUUUGCGUCUAUCUAGUUGUUCACCUUAGAAUGGUUAUAUCCAUGAGACUUUGAAUAGUACAUCUAGAUGGAAAGGACAGGAACCCAAACCAUGCAAACUUAUUCGUCUGAUUGCUAAACUAAAUUACUGGUUUAAUGGACUAACUCAUGCUGAAAGAUUAUAGUCGACUGGAGCCUUUUCUCUAGCACUCUUUCAAUAGAGUUCUAGUGGCUUUAGGGAACAUGGAAAUCUAGGCCUUGUCUAAAUAAGAUAGCUGAAUGAGAAAGUCAUUACAUGGCUAAAGUUUGGUAAGAUGAGUUCAGGCCUAUGAACACCAUUUAAGAUGAAAUGACUAAGCCUCUUGCACUGCAACUAAGAUUACUAAAAAGAUUCACAUGGGUGCUGAACACGAGUGCAUAAAUGUACUACUAAUCUGAUUAACUGGAUAGAAGAUAGUUGAAUACUGGACGUGUAAGAUUGAACUGUACUUGGUCUGAAUGGCUGAACUGAGACUAUAGAGUAUUAUACACAAAAGUUAAUGGCUGAAUGGGUAUCAUAAGGUAACUGAGCAGGAAUUUCAUGAAAGUUGUAUUAAUUACGCAUGCAAGACCGAGUGUACGACAUGAUUUGGAAGUAUUUAAUAGACUGAGGUACUAAAAUACUAAUAACUGAGUAUCUGACAACUGUACACUAUGGUCAAGAAAGCUUGGAACUGAACUGAGUUUCUGAUCUAAUUACUGAACUAAAGCGGACACUAUAACUAAGAUUCCUACUGGAACUAAAUGCCGGGUUCUGAUAAUUGAACAUUGAUAACUGUGGUUUAGACUGAUACUAAAGUACUUAAUUCUAAGACUGAACACUAAUUUCUAAGAACUGAAUGCUAAAACAGAGUAAUACCCUAAAGUUUCUUACCUAAUUUCAUCCUAAAAAUGUUAAGUAUUAGCUUCUAAAUUGAAUGAUGUAUAUUACAUGAGGAAUUUUUAAGAUUUUCACUUUUUUUUUUCAUGUGGGAAAUUCAAUAAGCUUUCCAUUGAUAUAAAAUUUACCUGAAUCUGAUAACCAAGUAAGAAGUUAUGAUUAUUUCAAGUCCCCAUCGUAAAACAGCACCAUAUUGGUCAGUGGCACGCCGCGCCACAAGAUAAAAUGGCAAUUAUCCUUUUUCCAGGGUCCCAGGGAGAUUUUUUCGUGUCGUGCCAGGGGUCCAGCGUGAGAAAUUUUCACCAAUUUUAAAAGACGCAUCCAGGGUUUAAAAGGUAAAUUUACCACCCCUGUUUAAACCCAAUAACACAUGAUUUAGCCAUUCUUCACCCAAAAUAUACUAGUUUCUCUCAAUUUUCUCUCAAGAACAAACUAGGGUUUCAAUUGGAGAUUCAAUUUCAAGAAAUCUCUCCAUUAAUCUUUGCUAAAUCUAGAACUAAGGUAUGGUUGUGUUGAUUUAUGGAUUUCUUUCAUCCAUAAAGCUCAAUAACCCUAUUUUAAAUUAUGAAUCAUGAUUAAUAUGUUGUGGGUUGCUCAAGUUAUGUGAUGGUUGUUGUUUGACUCCCAUGUCGGGAUCCUUAUGUAAAAUUAUGAAAACUACGUUACCAUAUAAAUUGAAAUCCAUGAAUUUGGUGGUUUAUGAUUUGAGAAAUUUGAUGAUUUCACCUAUGACUUAAGUUUUGCAUGUAAUGUAUUUGAUAAAAUGCCUAAAAGAAUAGAAAUUUGCACUAUAGCUAAAUUGUGACCCAAAUGACGAUGUAUGCUUUAACCUUAUGUUCAAAAUGACUUCCAUGUUAUUCUUAUGUAUUGAAAUUGCUUGUGGGAUUGUUCAUGAGUUAGCCUUAUGAAAUUAUGCUAUGUAUACAUGCUAUCUUAUUCACGUAUCAAGCUAUGAUAAUCAAAUGCCCAUGAAAUAUCUCCAACUAUUGUAUUAUGGAUUGUUGAUGUUGGUCAUGUAUUCAAUAAUGUCAUGCCUUAUUAGUUUACUUCCAUUGAGUCUUGGGGGUACUUGUACCCAAAAAAUAUAGCUGUGUGCCUAUAUUUAGUGUCAUGUUUUCAAGAUAUCCUCAGUCAAGCCAUGGUCCAUAGAACCCAGUCAGUCAUGUGACUCAGGAAAGCUCAGUAAUUCAGUAAUCUCAAUAGUAUUCCAUCAGCUAACGAAACUUCAUGAAUUCAUUCUAGUCUAGUUCAGUUAAUCAUGUUCAGUGUCUAUUCAUAUGGGAGUAGGAAUUAGCACCGAGUGAACCCAAGGAUGGGAACUCACCUAUUAUUUGAGGGUGUGAUUCUUAGAAGCAAUCCUUGCAUUCUAGAACUAUGUAGCCAGCGUAUGUUGAGACAUUAUAGCUUGUUAUAUGAGGGUAGAUGAGGUGGCUUAAGCUUUUAUAUUAAGGUUCCCACCGUUCUCGCUAGAGUUACCUGUUAAUGAGGGUUACUCACAGAUUGUGCUUAGCAGUGGCGCGGUAUUGACACCCUUUAAAUUGGGAUUACCGAUUGGAUCCCAACUCCGCCAUAAUGGAAUAUUAGAGGCAUGUCGGUUAGAUGACUACUUCCCACAGCUUCGGUUAUAGAAUUAGGAUUGUCAGAUACAGUCAUUUAGUCUCAAUAAUAGAACUCAGAUAGUUCUAUAAAAUUCAGGGCUGUCAGAUACAAUCAACUCAGAAUAGUACAGAACUCAGCUAGUUUCAUCAGAAACUAGACGGUCAGAUAUAGUCGCUCAGUAUCAUUUAUUUUAGUUAUACUGUUUUCAGUAUCUCAUGUUAUCAGUACUCAGAUUCAGUAAUCAUGUUAUCACGACCCUAGUUACAGUUAUUAUGUAUUCAUGCAUGUAUUCUCAUGUUUAUAUUAUUCAGUUAGUUAGUAUAGAUCAUUCAUGUAAACCCUUUGCAUUUAGCCUACCUCACAUACAUACCAGUACAUUCAAAGUACUGAUGCAUUUGCGCUAUGAUGUCUUAUACCAUAGGUUCAAAAGUUCGAGCUCCAAAGUAUCAGUUGAAUUCUAAUCUCCGCAGUCAGAGUUAGCAAUGAGUCCUCAUAUUUCGAGGACAUGAUCAUUUCCUUAAUAUAUCAUUAAUUAGUUUAUUAGUUGGAGUUAGUUGGGGCCAUGUCCCAUCAUCUCCUUAUUCAGACAGUUAUGUUUUAGAGGCUUUUCAGACUACAAUAUGUUUAGAAAAUUUAAUUAUUUUUUUGGAUAUUAUGUUAUAGUUUGAACCUUAUGGCCUUUCAGUUCAUGUUUCUACAUUAUACAGUAUAUCAUGCAGUAUACAUACCCAGAUAUUAGUCAUGGGUUAGCUUGUGGUCUUUCAAGGUCAUGAGCACCGUGUAGUGUUUUGGGUACCAGAUUCGAGGCCUUACAAACUUAGUAUCAGAACCUAAGGUUCAAUAGUAUCCUAGGAAAUCUGAACGCCGUAUCUAGUAAAGUCUUGUGCAUGGGUGUGUUGCGCGCCACAUUUAUGUACAUGAGGCUAUGAGAUGUUUUAGGAACAGUUUCCCUUUUUUCAAUAUUUAUGUCGUGCCAGUGAGAAUAAUCUCAAGUCAAUCUCUUAGUCUAAUCCGUUUCUCCCUUUCAUCUAUAGAACAUGACUCCUAAAAGAAAAAAUAGGAGUCAGUCUACCCCUCAGCCCAAAGAACCUUUGGGCAAACAUGUUUCUUAUGUAGAGUUUAGAGCUGUAUUCACUACUCUUGAUCAGUCUGUUGCCACUCAGAAUAAAUGACCAGCUGUCGUUCUGGCCAACCCAGUGGCCAAUUCUGCUGCAUCCAGGAUUCGGGACUUCACCCUAAUGAAUCCUCUAUCCUUUCUCGGGUCUAAGUCAGAUGAGGACCAUCAGGAAUUUAUCAAUCAUGUUCAGAAGGUUAUCGAUCAUGUUUAGAAGGUUACUGAUGUUAUAGUGAUAUCAACUGUUGAGAGUGCUGAGCUAGCUGCAUAUCAGUUGCAGGAUAUUGAUCACACUUGGUACAAGCAGUGGAAGUCAGAUAGGUCGGUUGAUGUAGGAACUAUAGAGUAGGAGGAGUUUGUUACCACAUUUUUAGAGAGGGUCUUUCCCCUAGAGCUGAGAAAGGCUAUGGCAUUAGAAUUCAAUAACCUUAGGUAAGGCAACAUGAUGGUGAAAGAGUAUUCUCUUAAGUUUACUCAAUUAGCCAAAUAUGACCCUCAUGUGGUUGUAGACAGUAGGGCCAAGAUGAGUAAGUUUGUUUUUGGGAUGAAUGAUAGUGUGCUCAAUGAGUGUAGGUCUGUGAUGUUGAAUAGUAACAUGACUUUAGCGAGGCUUAUGACUCAUGCUCAGAAUAUAGAGGAGAAAAAGAUUAAGAUGAAGAAGAAGCAGAAUAAGAGAGCAAGAACAAGUAUUUUCAAAUUUUCUCAGCCCAAAUUAGAAGGAUAAAACUGUUCUCAGUUUUGUCUUAAGUCAUUAGUUCCAGAUCCUUCUUCAUCUAGUGCUCCAGCUCCUAAGUUCAGGGAUAGUAAUGAAGAUAGAGCACCAGGCUCUAAGUCUUAGGGCAGUAUUAGCAGUGCCCGCGCCUAUUUUCUUUGCUAGGAUUGUGACAAGCACCAUCAGGGUAUUUACAGAGCUGGUAGUGGUAUUUGUUUAGGAUAUACCAAGACAGGACACAGAGCCAGAGACUGUCCUUAUCUAGGUCCUCAGGGUCAGCAGAACCGUUCUUCAUCUCAGUCCGAUUGUGUAAAUCAGUAGGGUGCCACUUCCAAUGCUACUAGUGGGCAAUGCCCAAACAGACUCUAUGCACUCUAGUCCUGGGAUGAUCAGAAAAAUUCUCCUGAUGUGGUUACUAGUAUGUGACAGAUCUUUUAUGUGUAUGUUUACACUUUACUAGAUCCAGGUGCUUCUUUGUCUUUUGUUACUCCCUAUAUAGUAGUUGAUUUCGAAGUCAGUCCCGAAAUUCUAGCAGAGCCCUUUUAGUCUUUACCCCAGUGGGUAAAAUCAUCAUAGCCCACUGGGUAUACUGGAACUGUUCGGUUAGGAUAUUUUAGAAAGUUACCUCAGCAGAUUUAGUCGAAUUAGAUAUGAUGGAUUUUGAUGUCAUUCUUGGCAUGGAUUGGCUUCAUUCCUACUAUGCCACAGUCGACUGCAUACAUAGAAUAGUCCUGUUUUAGUUUUUGAAUGAACCCAUCCUAGAGUGGAGGGGUAGUACUUCAGCUUUCAAAGGUCAGCUUAUUUCCUACCUUCAAGCAUGAAAAAUGAUAUCUAAAGGAUGUUUCUAUCAUUUUGUUCAAGUUAAGAACACUACUUCCAAAACUUCCAGUCUUGAAUCAUUCCUAGUAGUGAAUGAAUAUUCAGAUGUAUUUCCCAAAGAUCUCCCAGGAAUUUUUUUUGAAAGGGAAAUAGGCUUCGGCAUUGAUCUUUUUCCAGAUACUCAGCCUAUAUCUAUUCCGCCAUACAGAAUGGCACCUGCAAAACUCAAAGAACUAAAAGAGAAGUUGAAGGAUCUCUUAGAUAAGGGAUUCAUCAGACCUAGUGUGUCUUUGUGGGGUGCACCAGUCUUAUUCGUGCCCAAAAAAGAUGGUUCUCUGAAAAUGUGCAUGGAUUAUCAUCUACUUAAUAAAGUUACGGUCAAGAACAAGUAUCCUCUUCACAGAAUUGAUGACUUGUUUGACCAACUUUAGGGUGCCAUCUAUUUUUCUAAGAUAGACCUCAGAUCAGGAUACCAUCAGCUAAGAGUCAGAGAAUGUGACAUUCCAAAGACAGCCUUUUGUACUCGGUAUGGUCACUUUAAAUUUCUAGUCAUGUGCUUUGGUCUUACCAAUGCCCCAACAACUUUCAUGGACUUGAUGAACUGUGUGUUCAAUCAGUACUUGGACAUGUUCAUCAUAGUCUUCAUAGAUGAUAUUUUGGUCUAUUCCCGCAAUGAGCGUGAUUAUGUAGACCAUCUCAGAAUUGUACUUCAGGCUCUCAAAAAUUUAUUAGUUGUUCGACAAAUUUAGUAAGUGUGAGUUUUGGAUAAGGUCAGUAGUAUUCCUUGGCCAUAUCAUUUCUGGUGAUGGCAUUAGGGCUGAUCCUCAAAAGACCAAAGCCGUAAGAAACUAGCCUCAUCCUAUCUCUCCAUUAGAUAUUAGGAGUUUCUUAGGUUUGGCUGGCUAUUACAGAUGGUUUGUUAAAGGAUUUUCUUCUAUUGCAUCCCCUAUGUCCAGAUUGACUCAGAAAAAAGUCAAGUUUCAGUCUUCAGAUCUUUGUGAGAAGAGUUUUCGGGAGUUGAAGACUCGACUCACCUCAGCCCUAGUUUUAGCUCUUCCAGACGGUCCAGAUGGGUUUGUAGUAUACUGUGAUGUAUCCAGAGUAGGUUUGGGUUGUGUCCUUAUGCAACAUGGUAAGGUCAUAUCCUACCCCUCCAGACAGCUUAAACUCUAUGAGAAGAAUUAUCCUACUCAUGAUCUUGAGUUAGCAUCCGUAGUAUUUGCCUUAAAGAUUUGGAGGCAUUAUUUAUACGAUGUUCAUGUAGAUGUGUUCACAGAUCAUAAGAGUCUCCAGUAUGUUUUUUCUCAGAAAGAUCUCAAUCUUUGUUAGAGAAGGUGGUUAGAGCUCUUGAAAGAUUAUGACAUGAGUGUUCUUUAUCAUCCGGUCAAGGCUAAAGUAGUGGCCGACGCUCUCAGUAGACUGUAUAUAGGUAGUGUUGCUCAUGUUGAGGAAAGUAAGAAGAAGUUAGAUUAGAAAGUCCAUCAUCUUGCCAGACUAGGAGUUCGCUUAGUCGAUUUAGAGGAGGGUGACAUAUGGGUUCAGAGUAGUUCAGAAUCAUCUUUAGUUUCCGAGGUAAAAUAAAAGCAAGAUAGAGACCCCAGUUUAGUCAAGUUGAAAGAGUCAGUUAAGGACUAGAAAGUAGAGGUUUUCUCCUAAGGGGGAGAUGGUGUUUUGCAUUGUCAGGGUCGUCUGAGUGUUCUAGGUAUAGAUGACUUAAGGUAGCAAAUUCUUGCAGAAGUGCAUGGUGCAUUCUACUCUAUUCAUUCAGGGGCCACAAAGAUGUACCGUAAAUUAUGGGAGAUCUAUUAGUGAAGUGGGAUGAAAAGAGAAGUUGUAGUUUUUGUGCCUAAGUGCCCUACAUGUCAACAAAUUAAGAUAGAGCAUCAAAUGCCUAGUGGGUCCAUGUAAGAGUUCCAUAUUCCUACUAGAAAGUAGGAAGAAGUAAACAUAGACUUUGUGAUAGGUUUACCUCAUACUCGUCAUCAGCAUGAUUCAGUUUGGGUCAUUGUAGAAAGAAUGACCAAAUUGGCUUUUUUCCUUCCAGUCCAUACCUCUUAUUCAGCUGAGAAUUAUGCCAAGCUCUACAUUAGAGAGUUGGUCAGAUUACACAGUAUUCCAUUACCCAUUAUUUCAGACAGAGGUACCCAGUUCACCUCUCAUUUUUGGAAAGCGUUCCAAAAGGGUCUUAGUACCUAAGUUCAUCUCAGUACAUCCUUUUAUCCUCAGAUAGAUGGUCAAGCAAAAAGGACCAUUCAGACCCUAGAAGAUAUGCUAAGGGUAUGUGCAAUUGAUUUUAAGGUUAGUUGGGAUGACCACUUUCCUUUGAUUGAGUUUGCAUACAAUAAUAACUAUCAUUCCAGUAUUUAGAUGGCUCCAUUCAAAGCUCUCCAUGGUAGGAGAUACAUAUCUCCAGUCGGUUGGUUUGAAGUUAGUGAGGCGUUGGUGAUAGGACCUGACUUUUUAUUCGAUGCCUUAGAGAAAGUACAGUUGUUCAAAGAAAGACUCUAGGCUGCUCAAAGCCGACAGAAGUCUUAUGCAGAUCUGUGUAGAAAGGAUCUCGAGUUCGAGGUUAGUGACUAUGUCUAUAUAAAGAACUCUCCCAUGAAGGGAGUGAAGAGGUUCGGCAAGAAGGAAAAGCACAAUCCCCAAUAUUUUGGUCCCUUCAAAAUGCUCAGUCGCUUUGACAAGGUAGCUUAUGAGUUCGAAUUGCCUUCAAAUCUAGCCUCAGUUCAUCCAUUUUUCCAUGUCUCUUUGCUUAAGAAGUGUAUAGGUGACCCAGCAGUUGUAAUCCUUAUUCAGAGCAUAGAUGUUCAGAACAAGCUUUCUUAUGAGGAGAUUUCAGUCAAAAUUCUAGACUACCAGACUCGUAGACUGAUGAACAAAGAAGUCUCUCUAGUCAAAGUACUUUGGCAGAAUCAGUCCGUUGAGGGGGAUACUUGGGAAGCAGAAGCAGACAUAUGUACCAAGUACCCUCACCUCUUCUCUACUGACUCAGAUCAAGCUUAAGGUAACAGUUCUCCUUAAGCUUUUUAGUUUUCAUGUCCAGAUUUUAGUUACAACUUGGUAUCAGCCUCAUGUUCAGGAUUCCAUUUCUAAACUUGGUACUACGUACCAUUGCAUAUCAAAUUAUAUGUUCAUGCAUCAGAUUAGUCAUGUGUUCAUGCAUCAGACAUGCAUUCUCCUUAUGAUAAGACUUAGUUAUUAGAAAUCUCAGUCAUGUAAUCAGUUCCAUCAUGUAUUCAUGCAUCAAAUAUGUGUGAUCAACUUAUUAGUACUCUCAGUCAUGAAAUCAUGCAUCAGAUAUUCAUACUCUGUAUAAAUCUCAGAAAUGUUAGUUAUGUAUUCAUGUUUCAGUUAUUCAUGAUCAGCAUGUACUUUAGCUUAUCAUUUCUCCUAUCUCAGUCAAUCACAUUCGUGGAUGAAUGUUCCCAAGGGGGAGAUAUUGUAAUACCUCAAAGUUUCUUAACUAAUUUCGUCCCAAGAAUGUCAAGUAUUAGCUUCUAAAUUUAAUAAUGUUUAUUCCAUAAGAGAUUUUUAAUAUUUUUACUUUUUGUGAUGUGGGAAAUUCAAUAAGCUUUCCAUCGAUAUAAAAUUUGUCUAAAUCCGAUAACUGGGUAAGAAGUUAUGACCAUUUCGAGUCCCUAUCAUAAAAAAGUGCCAUAUUGGUCAGUUGCGUGCCGUGCAACAAGAUAAAAUGGCAAUUUUCCUUUUUCUAGUGUUCUAACGCGAUUUCGCCGCAUCGCGCCAGGGGCCCAGGUCAGGAAAUUUUCACCAAUAUUAAAAGAUGCAUCUAGGGUUAAAAGGGUCAAUUUCCCACCCCUAUUAAAACCCAAUAACAUGUGAUUUAGGCAUUUUUCACCCAAAAUAUACUAGUUUAUCUCAAUUUUCUCUCAAGAACAAACUAGGGUUUCAAUUGGGGAUUCAAUUUUAAGAAAAUCUCUCCAUCAAUAUUCGCUAAAUCAAGAACUAAGGUAUACAUUGUGUUGAUUUAUGGAUUUCUUUCAUCCAUAAAUCUCAAGAACCCUAUUUUAAAUUAUGAAUCAUGAUUAUUAUGUUGUGGGUUGCUCAAGUUAUGUGAUGGUUGUUGUUUGACUCCCAUGUUGGGAUCCUUAUGUGAAAUUAUGAAUACUACGUUAGCAUAUAAAUUGAAAUCCAUGAAUUUAGUGGUUUAUGAUUUAUAAAAUUUGAUGAUUUCACCUAUGCCUUAAGUUGUGCAUGUAAGGUGUUUGAUAAAAUACCUAAAGGGAUGGAAAUUAAGCACUAUAGCUAAAUUGUGACCCAAAUGACAAUGUAUGCUUUAACCUUAUGUUCAAAAUGACUUCUAUGUUAUUCUUAUGUAUUGAAAUUGCUUGUGGGAUUGCUCAUGAGUUAGCCUUAUGAAAUUAUGCUAUGUAUACAUGCUAUCUUAUUCACGUACCAAGCUAUGAUAAUCAAAUGCCCAUGAAAUAUCUCCAACUAUUGUAUUAUGGAUUGUUGAUGUUGGUCAUAUAUUCAAUAAUGUCAUGCCUUGUCAAUUUCCUUACAUCGAUUCCUGGGGGUACUUGUACCCAUAAAAUAUAGAUGUGUGUUUAGAUUUAGUGUCAUGUUUCCACGAUAUCCUCAGUCAAGCCAUGGUCCAUAGAACCUAGUCGGUCAUAUGACUCAGGAAAGCUCAGUAAUUUAGUAAUCUCAAUAGUAUUCUAUUAGCUAAUGAAACUCCAUGAAUUCAGUCUAGUCCAGUUCAGUUAAUCAUGUUCAGUGUCUAUUCAGAUGGGAGUAGGAAUUAGCACCGAGUGAACCCAAGGAUGGGAACUCACCUGUUAUAUGAGGGUGUGAUUCUUAGAAGCAAUCCUUACCUUCUAGAACUACGUAGCCAGUGUAGGUUGAGACAUCAUAGCUUGUUAUAUGAGGGUAGAUAAGGUGGCUUAACCUAUUUUAUUAAGGUUUCCACCGUUCUCACUAGAGUUACCUGUUAUAUGAGGGUUACUCACAGAUUGUCCUUAGCAGUGGUGCGGUAUUGACACCCUUCCAAUUAGGAUUACAGAUUGGAUCCCAACUCAGCCAUAAUGGCAUAUUAGGGGCAUGUCGGUUAGAUAAAUACUUCCCACAGUUUUGAUUACAGAAUUAAGACUGUCAGAAACAGUCAUUUAGUCUCAGUAAUAGAACUCAGAUAAUUCUGUAAAAUUCAGGGCUGUCAGAUACAGUCAACUCAGAAUAGUAUGAAACUCAGUUAUUUCCAUCAGAAACUAGACUGUCAGAUACAGCCGCUCAGUAUCUUUCAAGGACAUGACCAUUUAUUUAUUAUCUCAUUAAUUAGUUUAUUAGUUGGAGUUAGUUGGGGACAUGUCCCAUUAUCUCCUUAUUCAGACAGUUAUGUUUUAGAGGCUUUUUAGACUACAGUAUAUUUAGACAGUUUUAUUUUGGACAUUUAUACCCCAUCCCAGAUGUUAUAUUUUAUCAGAUAUUAUGUUACAGUUUGAACUUUAUGGCCUUUCAGUCCAUGUUUCCAUAUUAUACAGUAUAUCAUGCAUUAUAUAGGAACAUAUAUCAGUCAUGGGUUAGCUUGUAGUUCUUCGAGUUCACGAGCACCAUGUAGCGUUCUGGGUACCAGAUUAGGGGCGUUACAAACUAUAAUUAAGAUGGCAACUAAGUUUUGAUAGUUACGCAAUAAAGAAUGACAUAAGUCAAGGAUCUGAAAGUUACUCUCACUCUGUACUUUCCCAACUUCUAAUUACAACCUCUUUCUAGCCCUUUACUUGUAUACUUAACAUAACAUUCAAGCCUAUCUUCAUUACUACACCCUUGGGUAAUGUAAUACCUCGCAUGUUUCUAAGCUAGGAAAUGAAUAAGUAUUCCUACAUAUGAAAUCUCCUAUCCUGUAAUUCAUACUUGAGUACAUGACUUACAGUGAAUGUCCUAGUGAUAGGAUAGCUUAUGAUCCAUUAAGCAUGUUCAUAUGAGUCACUUAAGGUAAUACAAGCUACGAGUUUUUUGAAUCCAUCAAGUUUUAGUGUUUGAUUUUGCAAGGGUCAUCUUUGAAUGAGUAUAGCUUAAUGUUAAUGUGGUAUUUUGGAGGAUUUAUACCCACCAAAUUAUAUAGAAUUGAAUUAGCUUUCCAACGAUACCAAUUUUGCCUUAAUCCAAUACCCGGACAAAAAGUAAUGCCCAUUUUUGUGAGAGACAGUAAGGAUAGGUGAUUGGUUAGGCGCCACCCAACCAAACAUAGGCGAUUGGUUUGGUGCCAUGCAACCUAGCUUAGGCAAUCACUUGGGUUCCGCCUAAGUUAGUUCUAGGUGCGAAAAACACUCCGUUUUGAGUUAUUUUAAGGGUAAUAAGUCUUUUAACACUCCUUACACGUCCCUAAACUUAACCCUACAAAAUAUAUAGCUUUUAAACAUAUUACAACCCUAUUAUCAUCUCAAAGCUCAUCAUCCAAGAGCACUAAAAGAGAAAAACAACUAGGGUUGUGUAACUAAGCUUGAAGAUCUGAUUUCAAGGAAAUUCCUCCGUCAAUCAUCAAGAAUCNNNNNNNNNNNNNNNNNNNNNNNNNNNNNNNNNNNNNNNNNNNNNNNNNNNNNNNNNNNNNNNNNNNNNNNNNNNNNNNNNNNNNNNNNNNNNNNNNNNNNNNNNNNNNNNNNNNNNNNNNUUGAUGUUCAUGUGGUUGGAGUUUGAUGAUGCCUAAGAUGGGAUCUUUGUAUGUUUAUUGUGAGGAUAUGGUGGUAUUUAACGUAUAAAUAUGUGAAAUUGGUGGUUGAAUAUUUGUAAUCUUGAUGAAUCCACCUAUUCCUAAGAUGACCAUUUGCGCUAUGGUGCUUUCUUUUCAUGUUACACCAUAGGUUCCGAGACACGAGCUCUAGCCAGCAGUAGCGGUAGCAUUCCAGUCGCAGAGACACAGUGAGUCCUCAUUGAUUUGAGGAUAAUAUGAUUUGAUACAUUUAUUUGUUUCUUCAGUUCAGUUUUACAGAGUUAGUUGGAGACGUGUUCCUUCAAUUCCUUAUUUAGAUAGUUUAGAGGCUUUCAAAUUUAUGUACAGACUUAGCUUUCAGAUUGAGUUGUUUUGGGUAUUUUCACCUACAUGAUUUUAUUCAGUUGAACCUUAUGGCCUUAUAGUUCUAUGUAUUCUACAUUAUUAUAUCAUGAUUUGCAGUAUAUAGGUACAAAUAUCAGUCAUGGGUUAUCUUGUGGUCCCUCGGGGUCAUGAGCACCGUGUAGCAUUCCGGUUCAGCGAAUCGGGGUGUUACAAACUUGGUAUUAGAGCCUAAGGUUCAAUAGAGUCCUUGGAAGUCUGAAAGCCACAUUUAGUAGAGUCUUAUACAUGGGUAUGUUGUGCGCCACAUUUAUGUGCAGGAGGCUAUAAGAUGUAUUUGGAACAGUCCCCUUUCUUCAUUAUUCAUGUCAUGCUAGUGAGCAUAAUCACAAGUUAAACUCUUAGUCUAAUCCAUUUUUCUCUUAUUCCAGACCAUGGUUCCAAAGAGAAGAAACCAACCAGCACCUCAGCCCGAAGAUCCUUUGGGCAAACAUGUUUCCCAUGCAGAGUUUAGAGCCGCAUUUACCACAUUUGCUCAGUCCAUGACUACACAGAAUGAAUGGCCACCAGUCAUUCUGGCCAAUCCAAUGGCUAAUUCUAAAGCAUCUAGGGUUCGGGACUUUACCCGAAUGAACCCUUCAUUUUUCCAUGGGUCUAAGUCUGAUGAGGACCCUCAGGAGUUCAUUGACCAAGUCCAGAAGGUCAUUGACAUCAUGAGUGUUACUUCUAUUGAGAGUGCUGAGUUAGCCGCCUACCANNNNNNNNNNNNNNNNNNNNNNNNNNNNNNNNNNNNNNNNNNNNNNNNNNNNNNNNNNNNNNNNNNNNNNNNNNNNNNNNNNNNNNNNNNNNNNNNNNNNNNNNNNNNNNNNNNNNNNNNNNNNNNNNNNNNNNNNNNNNUUCCCUAAGAGCUAAGGGAAGCUAAAUUUUUUGAGUUCAUUAACCUCAGGUAGGGGAAUAUGAUGGUUAGGGAGUAUUCUCUCAGAUUUACUCAGCUAGCCAGGUAUGCUCCUCUUGUGGUUGCAGACAAUAGAGCUAAGAUGAGCAAGUUCGUGUCAGGGGUCAACGAUACUAUGGUAAAUGAGUGUAGGUCUGCAAUGCUGAUCGGUGAUAUGACCUUAGCCAGACUCAUGACCCAUGCCCAGCAAGUAGAAGAGCAGAAGUUUAAGACAAGGGAGAGGCAGAACAAGAGAGCAAGGUUAGGUACUUAAACUCUGCUCACCCCAAGUCAUAUGGAGGAAACCAUUCAUAGUUUCACUCUAAGUCAGCUGUUCCAGCUCCUUCCUCUGCCAGUGCUCCAGAGCCGAAGUUCAGAGACGACAAUAGAGACAAAGCUCCAGGCUCUAAAUCUCAGGGCAGUGUCAGGAGUGCUCGAAAAAAUCCCCUUUGUCAGACUUGUGGUAAGAACCACAAGGGUAUUUGCAGAGCCGGUAGUGAUGUCUGUUUUGGUUGUGGCAAGCCAAGCCACAGAUUUGGGAGUGUCUGUAGUCAAGUCUUCAGGGUCAGCAAAAUCAUUCUACAGUUCAGUCCAGUUGCCCGAACCAGCAAGGUGCCAUUUCCAGUGCUACCAGUGGGCAAUGCCUAAAUAGACUCUAUGCUCUUCAGUACUGACAAGAUCAGGAAAAUUCUUUCGAUAUCGUUACUGGUAUGUUACAGAUUUUCCAUGUUCAUGUUUAUGCUUUGCUAGACCCAGAUGUAUCUUUUUCUUUUGUUACUCCAUACAUAGCAGGCAAUUUUGAAAUUUGUCCCGAAGUCCUAGUAGAGCCUUUAUCAGUCUCUACCCUAGUGGGUAAAACCAUCAUAGCCCAGCGGGUAUACAGGAACUGUCCAGUUAUGAUAUCUUAAAAAUCCACAUCAACAAAUUUAGUGGAGUUAGAGAUGACUGAUUUUGAUGUCAUUCUCGGCAUGGAUUGGCUUCAUUCCUACUAUGCCACAGUCGACUGCAGAAANNNNNNNNNNNNNNNNNNNNNNNNNNNNNNNNNNNNNNNNNNNNNNNNNNNNNNNNNNNNNNNNNNNNNNNNNNNNNNNNNNNNNNNNNNNNNNNNNNNNNNNNNNNNNNNNNNNNNNNNNNNNNNNNNNNNNNNNNNNNNNNNNNNNNNNNNNNNNNNNNNNNNNNNNNNNNNNNNNNNNNNNNNNNNNNNNNNNNNNNNNNNNNNNNNNNNNNNNNNNNNNNNNNNNNNNNNNNNNNNNNNNNNNNNNNNNNNNNNNNNNNNNNNNNNNNNNNNNNNNNNNNNNNNNNNNNNNNNNNNNNNNACAGAACUCAAGGAACUAAAAGAUUAGUUGAAGGAUCUCUUAGAUAAGGGAUUCAUCAGACCUAGCAUUUCCCUAUGGGGUGCCCCAGUAUUAUUCGUGUGCAAGAAAGAUGGUUCUCUCAGGAUGUGUAUUGAUUACCGUCAACUCAACAAGGUCAUGUUCAAGAAUAGAUAUCCUUUUCCCAGGAUUGAUGAUCUGUUUGACUAACUUCAGGGUGCCAGUUACUUCUCCAAGAUAGACCUCAGAUCAGGCUAUCAUCAGCUCAGAGUUAGAGAAUGUGACAUUCCAAAGACAACUUUCCGUACUUGGUAUGGUCAGUUUGAAUUUUUAGUCAUGUCAUUUGGUCUUACCAAUGUCCCUGUAGCUUUUACGGAUUUGAUAAACCGUGUUCAAGCAGUACUUGGACAUGAUUGUCAUAGUCUUUAUAGAUGAUAUUCUGGUCUACACUCGCACAGAGCGUGAUCAUGCAGACCAUCUCAGGAUUGUUCUUCAAACUCUUAGGGAUCACAAGUUAUUUGCUAAGUUCAGCAAGUGCAAAUUUUGGCUAAGAUCAGUAGCAUUCCUUGGCCAUAUUGUUUUUGGUGAUGGCAUUAGAGUAGAUCCUCAGAAAACUGAGGCAGUAAAAAAUUGGCCCAGACCCGUAGCUCCAUCAGAUAUUUGGAGUUUCUUGGGUUUGGCUGGCAUUACAGAUGGUUUGUCGAGGGAUUUUCUUCUAUUGCAUCUCCCAUGUACAGAUUGACUCAGAAGAAGAUUAAGUUUCAGUGGUCAGAUUCAUGCGAGAAGAGCUUUUAAGAGUUGAAAACUGGACUCACCUCAGCUCCAGUUCUAGCUAUUCCAGAUGGUUCAGACGGUUUUGUAGUCUAUUAUGAUGCAUCCAGAGAGGGUUUAGGUUUUUUCCUCAUGCAGCAUGGUAACGUCAUAGCCUACGCCUCCAGAUAGUUAAAGCCACAUGAGAAGAUUUAUCCUACUCAUGAUCUUGAGUUUGCAGCGGUAGUUUUUGCCUUGAAGAUUUGGAGGUAUUAUCUCUAUGGAGUUCAUGUAGAUGUCUUCACAGACCAUAAAAGCCUCCAGUAUGUCUUUUCCCUGAAAGAUCUCAAUCUUCGUCAGAGAAAGUGGUUAAAGCUCUUGAAGGAUCACGACAUGAGUGUUCUUUAUCAUCCGGGCAAGGCCAAUGUUAUGGAUGACGCUCUCAGUCGACUCUCUAUGGGUAGUAUUUCUCACGUUGAGGAUAGUAAGAAAAAGAUAGCUCAGGUGAUCCAUCAGCUUUCCAGACUAGGCAUUCGCUUAGUCGAUUCUUCAGAGGAUGGUGUAUGUGUUCAUAGUAGUUCAGAGACAUCUCUAGUUUCCGUGGUGAAAGGGAAAUAAGCCAGGGAUCCUAGCCUUGUCAAGCUCAAAGAGUCAGUUCAAAAUCAGAAAGUCAAGGUUUUCUCCCAAGGGGGAGAUGGUGUUCUUCGUUGUCAGGGUCGUCUAUGUGUUCCAUAUGAAUUGAGGUAGCGAAUUCUUGCAGAAGCACAUAGUGCACGAUACUCUAUUUAUCCAGGGGCCACUAAGAUGUACCGCGACAUGCGGGAGAUCUAUUGGUGGUGUGGGAUGAAGAGAGAUGUUGUAGAGUUUGUGGCUAAGUGCUCUACAUGUCAGCAAGUUAAGAUAGAGCAUCAGAAACCUAGUGGUUCCAUGCAACAGUUCACUAUUCCUACUUGGAAGUGGGAAGAAGUUAACAUGGACUUCAUGACGGGUUUUCCUAGAACUCAUCAUCAACAUGAUUCAGUCUGGGACCAUUCAGACUUUUGAAGAUAUGCUAAGGGCAUGUGCAAUUGACUUCAAGGGAAUUUGGGACGACCACUUUCCUUUGAUUGAGUUUGCAUACAACAAAACCUAUUAUUCUAGUAUUCAGAUAGCUCUAUUCAAAGUUCUCUAUGGUAAGAGAUGUAGAUCUCCGAUUGGUUGGUUCAAAGUUAGUGAGGCCUCAAUCAUAGGUCCUGACUUAGUAUUCGACGCCUUAGAGAAAGUUCAGUUGAUUAGAGAGAGACUCCGAGCUACUCAGAGCUAACAAAAGUCCUAUGCAGAUGUUCGUAGAAAGGAUCUCGUGUUCCUGGUUAGUGACUAUGUCUAUCUUAAUAUCUCUCCCAUGAAGGGAGUGAAGAGGUUCGGAAAGAAAGGGAAACUCAGUCCCCGAUAUGUCGGUCCCUUCAAAAUUUUUUGUCGCUUCGGCAAUGUAGCUUAUGAGCUUGAGUUUCUUUCAGAUCUAGCCUAAGUCUAUCCAGUCUUCCAUAUCUCUUUGCUAAAUAAGUGCAUAGGUGACCCAACAGUUGUUGUCCCUAUUCAGAGCAUUGACAUUCAGAAAAGCCUCUUUUAUGAAGAGAUUCCAGUGGAAAUCUUAGAUUAUCAGACUCGUAGAUUCAAGAACAAAUAAGUUCCUCUAGUCAAGGUUCUUUGGCGAAAUCAGUAUCAUGAGAGAGCUAAUUGGGAAGUAGAAGCAGAUAUGCAUACCAAGUAUCCUCACCUCUUCCCCGCCAAUUCAGAUUAAGAUCAAGUUAAUAGUUCUCCUUAAGCUUAUUCAGUUUCACAUUCAUAUUUCCAGUAUAAACUUGGUACCUAUUAACCAUUUCAUACUCAUUCAUUCAUUCAUGUGUCAGUUGUCCGUGCAUCAGAUAUGUACGAGUUCAGUAUGUUUAGCAUAUUAGUCAUGAGAUCAAGUUUCAGUUCUUCAUGUUCAGUUCAGGUUCUAUUGUCUUGUAUCCUUUCUCAGUAAAUUCUCAUUCGAGGAUGAAUGUUUCCAAGGGAGAGAUAUUGUAAUGCCCCACAUGUUUCUAAGCUAGGAAGUGAAUAAGUAUUCCUACGUAUGAAAUCUCCUAUCCUAUGAUUCAUACUUGAGUACUUGACUUACAAUGAAUAUCCUAGUGAUAGGAUAGCUUAUGAUACAUUAAGCAUGUUUAUAUAAGUCACUUAAGGUAAUACAAGCUAAGGGUUUUUGAAUCCAUCAAGUUUUAGUGCUUGAUUUUGCAAGGGUCAUCUUUGAAUGAGUAUAACUCAAUGUUAAUAUCUCAUUUUGGCUGAUUUAGACCCACCAAAUUGUAGAGAAUGAAUUAGCUUUCCAACGAUACCAAUUUUGCCUUAAUCCAAUACCCGAGCGAAAAGUUAUGCCCAUUUUCGUGAGAGACAGUAAGGACAAGCGAUUGGUUAGGCGCCGCCCAACCAAACAUAGGCGAUUGGUUUGGUGCCGUGCAACCUAGCUUAGGCAAUCACUUGGGUUCCGCCUAAGUUAGUUCCAGGUGCGAAAAACACUCCGUUUUGAGUUAUUUUAAGGGUAAUAAGUCUUUUAACACUCCUUACACGUCCCUAAACUUAACCCUACAAAAUAUAUAGCUUUUAAACAUAUUACAACCCUAUUAUCAUCUCAAAGCUCAUCAUCCAAGAGCACUAAAAGAGAAAAACAACUAGGGUUGUGUAACUAAGCUUGAAGAUCUGAUUUCAAGGAAAUUCCUCCGUCAAUCAUCAAGAAUCUUUCUUCUAAGGUAUGUAUGAGUUGAUUCACGGAUUCCUUUCGUCCAUGAAGCUCAAGAACCAUCUUCUAAAUUUUGUAUUAUGAUGUUUAUGUUGUUUUUGGUUGUUGUUCAUGUGGUUGGAGUUUGAUAAUGCCUAAGAUGGGAUCUUUGUAUGUUUAUUGUGAGGAUAUGGUGGUAUUUAACGUAUAAAUAUGUGAAAUUGGUGGUUGAAUAUUUGUAAUCUUGAUGAAUCCACCUAUGCCUAAGAUGUGCAUGUAAGGUGUUUGUGAAAAUACCUAAGGGAAUAGAAAUCAUGCUUUUAUGACAUAAUAAGUCCUAAAUGACUNNNNNNNNNNNNNNNNNNNNNNNNNNNNNNNNNNNNNNNNNNNNNNNNNNNNNNNNNNNNNNNUGCUAUUGUCUUGAAUUGAAGAAGUUGUACGAGAUGCUCAUGAUAUUGUUGCGAUAUGGAAUGACCAUGUUAUUGAAGCCAUGCAAGUAUAUACAUGUUGUGUGCAUUCCCGAUCAUGUGAUAGUUUGUUGAGAAUCAUUCUUAUUAUGAAAGCCUUACUUAUGAUAUUGUGAAUUGUGGACUCAAAUCUUGUGAUCAAGUCAUGUCAUGUAUGUCAGUUUCCUCCUAUCGAGUCCUGGGGGUACUUGUACCCAAAAACUAUAGCUGUGUACCUAGAGCCAUGUCAUGUUUUACGAUAUCCGAACUCAAGCUAUGAUUCUAUAGACUUCAUUAAGUCAUGUGACUCAGGAAAACCUCAAUAUCUUAGUCAGUUGUUAGAUAUCAGUAACAUUCCGCCAGUCAAUGGAAUUCAGUAAGAUUAAGUCAUGCACAGUCAGUUAUUCAUGUCCAGUACCUCCAGAUGGGAGUAGAGGGUAGCACCGAGUAAACCCAAGGAUGGGAACUCACCCGCCAGUUCAGGGUAUGAUUCUUAGUAGUCAUCCUUGUGUUUCAGAACUAUGUAGCCAGCGUAGGUUGAGACAUCUUAACCCGUCAGAUNNNNNNNNNNNNNNNNNNNNNNNNNNNNNNNNNNNNNNNNNNNNNNNNNNNNNNNNNNNNNNNNNNNNNNNNNNNNNNNNNNNNNNNNNNNNNNNNNNNNGUAUUGACACCCCUCCAGUCAGGGCAGAGAUUGGACCCCAGCUUAGCCAUAAUGGCAUACAUAGGGCAUGUCGAUUAAACACUACUUCCCACAGUUUCAGUAUCAGUCUUAAUAAAAAAACUCAGGGCGUUCUUCAGAUUUUAGUAUAUACAGGACUGUCAGAUACAUUCGUCCAUGUUAUCAGUUUCAGUAUCAGUCGUGACAGUUAUCAUUAAACCAUGUAUUAGCAUACAUAUCAUGCUAUCACGUAUUCACGGUCCUAGUUUCUAUAUAUGUGUGUUUGCAUUCCCACGUUCAUAUUAGUCAGUCAGUGUUGUUCAUGCAUGAAACCCUUUAUGUUCAGCCUACCUUCCUCGUAUACUCAGUACUCCAGUUGUACUGACACAUUUGUGCUAUGGUGCUUUCUUUUCAUAUUACACCAUAGGUUCCGAGACACGAGCUCUAGCCCAGCAGUAGCGGUAGCAUUCCACUCACAGAGACACAGUGAGUCCUCAUUGAUUCGAGGACAAUAUGAUUUGAUACAGUUAUUUAUUUCUUUAGUUCAGUUUUAUGGAGUUAGUUGGAGACAUGUUCCUUCAACUCCUUAUUUAGAUAGUUUAGAGGCUUUCAGAUUUAUGUUCAUAUUUAGCUUUCAGAUUGAGUUAUUUUGGGUAUUUUCACCCACAUGAUUUUAUUCAGUUGAACCUUAUGGCCUUACAGUUCUAUGUAUUCCACAUUAUUAUAUCAUGAUUUAUAUUAUACAGGUACAGAUAUCAGUCAUGGGUUAGCUUGUGGUCCCUCGGGUCAUGAGCAUCGUGUAGCAUUCCGAUUCAGCGAAUCGGGGUGUUACAGGCAAUAUAAGCAUUCAACAAUCUUCUCUUAACAUGAAAUAUUUACUCUCUCCUUUCUAAGCAACUACUCAUCAGUAUACUAUUUUCAUAAAGAGAGCUUACAGAAGGGUUAAAUCAGGAGGACCUGAAGCAUGAAUGGAUACUAAUUGAACUUGACAUAUGGCUAAGGCCUGAAGAAUAUAAUAUCAAUAUCUUGGAUUUACCCAAAAGGUCUGAACUAAGGAUAUAGUGGAUACAUGAUAUAUCCUGGAUUUAACUGAUCAGUAAAAGCGUAUCAUGAGUCAUGGAAGUUAAGUAUACUGUAAAGCAUGACAUGUGUACAUGAGUCAUGAGCUGCAUAAUCGGAGUUUUGAGUUUUCUACAUUUAUGGGUCAUGACUUAGAUUACUGAGGGGAGUAAAACUGAACUUCUUAUGCUGGGAACUAGAAUCGUACAUGAUUCGAUGAAAAAUGUAUGAAUAUAGGCUGGGUUCAUGAAAUAGAGAUGUAAAACAUGCGAAAGCAUCAUACUGACUGAAGUACGAAACUUUACACUGAGAUAAGGAUGGUUUGGGAAUCAUCUUUUCCUUACUGCUUUCCUAUACAUGCCGGCACUACUAUUGGAAUCUGAAGGCCUAACUUUUUCUGAGCUUUCUUAACCGAACAGUGCCUGUAUUCUAUCAGGAUAUGAUAGACUAACCCACUAGGGCAGAAACUAAGAAAGGUCCUGUUAACACUUGGUUCGACCUUAAUGUUGACAGUGACUGCAUUAGAUGGACUUUUAUGAUUCUGUCGGGGAUGAAAAACAUGGAAUCUAUUUGGGCAUUGCCCACUGUUGGAGCUGGAGGAGGCACCCUACUGAUUUAGGCGAUCGGACUGAGCUGAAGAAUGAUUAUGCUGACUUUAAGGAUCGGGUCUAGGAUAGUAUCAGAAUUUGCGACCUGAUUUGCCAUAUCCAAAACACAAAUCACUAUCGGCUCUUCAUAUGCCCUUAUGAUACUUACCACAAGUCUGACAAAGGGGAUGGCUUUGGGUACUACUAACACCGCUAUGAGGUUUAGGACCUGGCGUCCUAUCUCUAAAUUUAAGUACUGGAGUACUGGCCAAGAAAGGAACUGGAACUAAAAAACUUUGGGCGAAACUGAAGGUGGUUACCACCCUCUGACUUAGGCUGGUUGAAAUUGAGGCUACCUAUUCUAGCUCUCUUAUUUUCUUUCUUUCUUUCUUUCAUUCAUUCUUUCUUUCUUUCUUACUAUGCUUUCCCACCUUGAUCUACUGGGUACGAAUCACGUGCCUGAGUGGGACAAUGGCCUACUGAUUGCUCUGAGCUACUACUGAAUAGGAUAUAGUAAGAGAGUCAAUUCUGAAUUUGCCAUGAAAGACAUGCUCGUCUAGGGAAUCUGCUUGGAUGGGCGGAAGUACCGACUGGUUAUCGGUCCUCCUUUCAUUAGUCCUUUUGGGAGACAUGUUCUGUAAUAAAAGAAAUGAGCAAAUUAGACUGAGAAUUAAACUUGAGCUAAUGAUCACUUGCACGACAUGAAUACUGAAACAAGGGAAACUGUUCCUAACAUAUCUUAUAGCCCCCUGUACACAAGUGUGGUGCACAACACACCCAUGUAUAAGACUCUAUUAGAUGUGGCUUUUCAGACUUCCUAGAACAUUGUUGAACCUUAGGCUCUGAUACCAAGUUUGUAACGGUCCGAAUAUGGUACCCAGAAUGCUACAUGGUGCUUAUGACCCCAAAGGACCACAAGCUAACCCAUGACUAAUAUCUGUACCUGAACACUGCAUAAUAUAUAUAUAUAUAAAUGUGGAAACAUAAGCUAUAAGGCCAUAAGGUUCAUAUCUGAAACAUAAAAUCUAAUAAAACAAUGUUUAAAUGGGGUAUAGAAAUACCCAAAAUUGAAACAAACUGUCUGAAUAUACUAUAGUCUGAAAGCCUCUAAACUAUCUAAAUAAGGAGUUGAUGGGGCAUGUCCCCAACUAACUCCAGCUACUGAAAUAAACUAAGUACUGAAAUGAUAAAGUAAUGAUUAUGUCCUUGAUGGAUGAGGACUCACUGCUAACUAUGACUGCUAGAUACUGGAGUGCUACUGAUGCUCUGGAGCUCGUGCUUCUGACUUAUGUCGUAAAGUAAAAAACCAUAGCGGAAAUAUGUUAGUACAAUUGAAUGUACUGGUAUGCAUGUGAGGAAGGAUGAAUGCAUGGGUUCAUAUGCAUGAACAAUACUAAAUGACUGUAUAACAUAAAUAUAAGAAUACAUGCAUAAAUAAAUAACUGUAACUGAGACCAUACAGACACUGGGUACUAAGUUCUAAGUACUGAUUUACUAACAUCUAGGUUUACUGAUACUGAUAACUAAGUCUACUGGAUACUGGGUAACCUGAUGGUAUAUUACUGAUAGAGGAAUAAUUGUUUCUAACAGUUCUGAUUAUGAAGAACUAGUCUGAUUGACAGUAUUUGACAGUCUUAAAACUGAUUACUAGUAACGAAAGUUACUGAUAACUGACAUAACUUAUAUAACUAAGAUAACUAGUAUAACUUAUAUAACUAAUACUGAGCGACUGUAUCUGAUAGUUUAUGUUCUGAUGGAACUAGCUGAGUUAUAUACUGUUCUGAGUUGACUGUAUCCGACAGUCCUAAAUUUUGUAGAACUAUUUGAGUUCUAUUACUGAGACAAAAUAAGUGUAUCUGGCAGUCCUAAUUUUGUAACUAAAACUAUGGAAAGUAGUUAUCUAACUGACAUGCCCCAAAUAAUCGCAAUAUAGCUGAGUUGGGGUCCAAUAUGUAACCCUAAUUGGAAGGGUGUCAAUACCGCUCCACUGGUAAGGACAAUCUGUGAGUAACCCUUAUAUAAUGGGUAACUCUAGUGAUAACAGUGGUAACCCUCAUCUAAAUGGUUAAGCCACCUCAUCUACCCUCAUAUAAUAGGCUAUAAUGUCUUAACCUACGCUGGCUACGUAGUUGCAAUACCCCAAAAGUUCAGACAUUUUAGGAUCAUAUUUCGAACUCAUGAGUAAUAAAUUUUUAGUUCUUUGGUAGUGUUAUGAUCAAGGUUGAUUCAUAUUAAGGCCUCAAAAGUGUCCUAGUUAAUUGACGAAUCAAAAUAUUUCCUUACCGAUUGAAUUCUUGAGAAGGAUAUUGGUAUAGUCAACUUCAAACAAGCAUUCUCUUGUUAUGCUAUGAAUUUCUUAGCUCAUAACCCACCAACAAAUAUAUAAUUGAAUUAUCUUUCCAACAAUGCCAAUUUUGCCUAAAUCCUAUAUCGGAUCAAGGAGUCAAGCCCAAUUUACUCCAGCAUGUCAGGCUGGGAAACUGAGUGAUGACAUUCGUGAUAAGCUGUCACAAGCGUGAUGACAUAUCAUAAAUGUCAUCAUACUUGGGCAGAUUUCUACCCCUAGUGACGACAUUUUGUGAUAAUCCAUCACGCCCGUGAUGGCUUAUCACCAAUGUUGUUAACCUUAACCAGAAAAUCAAGAUUCACCCUUUUGUGACGACAUUUCGUGAUGACUUAUCACCAGCUUGAUGACUUGUCACAAAUGUCAUCAGUCUUAGAUUUUCAGCAACUGGGAAGCGGUUUAGUAAGGGUAUUUUGUUCUUUUUCCUUCACUUUCCCUGACUUAUAACCUUCAAGGAGCGUAUUAUCUUCCAUUCUCUUUAGUUAAACAUCUCAAAAAGCUCUCUUAUACACUCUCAACCACAAUAUUAGGGUUUCCUCUCAAGAUCAUCUCCUCAAGAACAAGAAUAUUCUCUUCCAAAGGGGUUAAACCCUAGUCAAGAAAAAUCAACAGCAAGCCUAAGGAUUUCUUCAAGAACCUUCAGAAGCAUUAGAUCUCUUUAAAGAUUCAAUCACUAAGGUAUGCGUAGUGUUCAUCCAUGGAUCCCUUUCAUCCAUGGAGUUCAAGAAUCAUGUUUUAAAUUAUAAAUUGUGAUUUUCUUGUUGUGUUAUAACUAUACUCUUGUUGAUGAUUGUUGUUUGGAUUUAAGAUUAUAUCUUGACGUGUUUUUCAUGAAGCAUGUGAGUAGGUUAGUUGAAACCCAUAAAUUUUGGAUGGAUUAAGAUUGUCAAAUUGAUAAAUACACCUAUGCCUAAAGUUGUGCAUGUAAGGUAUUUGAUAAAAUGCCAAGAAUGAUAGAAUCCAUGUUUUAAUGACUCAGUAGUGCUUAAAUGACAAGCCUAUUUCUAUUCUUUAUGACUCGACAUGAACUCCACGUUAUUAUUGUGUGUUAUUGUUGUGAUUUGGAAUGAACAUGAUAUUAAGGCAAUGCGAGUAUAUACAUGUUGUGCGCAUCCCCUUCCAUGUGUAAUAUGUUGAGAACCAAGUAUAGUAUGAAAUUCCCCACUUAUGAUAUUGUGAAUUGUGGACUCUAUUCUUAUGAUCAAGUCAGUCAUGUGGGUCAGUUUCCUUUUAUUGAGUCCGGGUAUACUUGUACCCGAAAAAUAUAGCUGUGUGCCUAGAGCCAUGUCAUGUUAUCAUGAUACUCUCAGUAAAGCCAUGAUCUAUAGAACUCAGACAGUCAUGUGACUCAGGAAAUCUCAAAAAUCUCAUGAUCUCAGUUAGUUCUCAGAUAAUAGUACUAUUCCAUUAGUCAACAGAAGUCAGUUACUCAGUCUAUGUACAGUCAGUUAAUCAUUUUCAAUCUCUUUAGAUAGGAGUAGAAGUUAGCACCGAGUAAACCCAAGGAUGGGAAUUCACCUGCUGGAUAAGGGUGUGAUUCUUAGCAGUCAUCCUUGUGUUCCAGAACUACGUAGACAGCGUAGGUUGAGACAUCUUAACCUAUUAGAUUAGGGCUGAUGAGGUGCUUUUACCUUUUAGACCAGGGUCCCACCAUUCUCAUUAGAGUAACUUUCCAGAUAAGGGUCACUCACAGCUUGUCCGUACCAGUGGCGCGGUAUUGAUAUCCUUCCAAUCAGGGCACAAAUUGGACCCCAGCCCAGCUAUUAUAGCACAUUUAAGGCAUGUCGGUUAAACAACUACCUCCCACAUUUUUAGUCUUAAUAUCAGUAAAAGAACUCAGAUAGUUCUUUAGAUUUCAAUAUACCAGGACUGUCAGAUAUAGUCAAUUCAAUUACAGUACAAAACUCAGGUAGUUCCAUCAGAUUUAGGACUGUCAGACACAGUCAUCCAUGUUAUCAGAAAUCCCAGUAUUAGUAAUGUUAGAUAUCAAUAAACCAUGUAUUAGUAUACAGAUCUAGAUAUCAUGUAUUCACGAUCUCAGUUACUAUGUAUGCAUGUUUGUACUCUUACAUUCAUAUUAGUCAUUCAGUUAGCACUGCUUAUAUAUGUAAGCCCUUUUGUAUAUAGCCUACCUCACUCGUAUACUCAGUACUUUCAGUUGUACUAAUACAUUUGCGCUAUGGUGCUUUAUUUUAUGUUACACCAUAGGUUCAGAUCCACAAGUUCUAGAUCAGCAGUAGCUAUCACAUUUCAGUAUACAGGGUUGGAGUGAGUCUUCUUCAUUCGAGGAUGAUAUGAUUUGACUUCAUUUAUUUUCUUCAGUUAUCUUACAAUCUAUGGAGUUAGUUAGAGAUAUGUUCCUUCAACUCCUUACUCAGAUAGUAUUUAGAGACUUUCAGAUUUAGUUUAGAUUUGUUCUAGACUUCAGUUGUUUUGGGUAUCUGUUACCCCAUAUGGAUGUUAUGAUUUGUCAGAUAUUUUAUUCAGUUGAGCCUUAUGGCCUAUUGUUCACGUUUUCUGCGUUUCACAUGUAUAUUAGGCAGUGUAUAGGUACAGAUAUCAGUCAUGGGUUAGCUUGUGGUCCUUCAAGGUCAUAAGCACUGUGUAGCAUUCCGGUUCAGAAAAUUGGGAUUGUACAGUAGUUCAGGAACAUAACGAUUGCUUCUAAGAAUCACACCCUCAUAUAACUGGUGAGUUCCCAUCCUUGGAUUUACUCGGUGCUAAUUCCUACUCCUAUCUGAAUAGACACUGAACAUAAUUCACUGAACUAGACUAGACUAAUUUUAUGGAGUUCUGUUGACUGACGGAAUACUACUGAGAUUUCUGAAUUUACUGAGAUUUCCUGAGUCACAUGACUGACUGAGUUCUGUGGAUCAUGGAUUGACUGAGAAUAUCAUGAAACAUGAAACUGGAUCUAGGUACACAACUAUAUUUUUUGGGUACAAGUACCCCCAGGAUUCGAUAGAAGGAAACUGACAAAGCAUGACUUUCUUGAAUACAUGGCCAACAUCAACAAUUCAUAUACGACGGUAGGGGAUAUUUCAUGAAGCACAUGGUUAUCAUAAUCUUGUAUAUAGAUUAGAAUGCACAUGCUCAUGUCUUAACUUUAUCAUUUUAAUAUCAUGAUUAUAUCAUCAUGCAAUUGCAUUACACAACAAUCCUCAUGGAAAUCAUUUUAAACAUAGGGGAACACAUACAUUCAUAAUUGGGUCACAGUCUAACUAUUAAGCAUAAUUUCUAUUCUCCUAGGCUUUUUAUCAAACACUUAGGAUGCGUGAUUUAAGGCUUAGGCAUGAGAAUGAAUUUAAUACAACCUUACUUCGCAAUUCAACCCAAUUUCAUGAUUUUAGUCCACAUAUUGGCGUAAUUUCAUAAAGACAUAAUAAAUAUUCCAUCUUGGAAUUCAUACAACAAUAGCACAUGAACAAAAUUCAAUUCAUAGAAUGAAUAUCACAAUUCGUAAUUUAAAACUUGAUUCUUGGGCUUCAUGGAUGAAAGGAAUCCAUGAAUGAACACUAUACAUACCUUAGAUGGAAGAUUCUUGAUGAUUCACGGAGAAAUUUGCUUGAACUUGGAUCCCCAAUUGAAAAUCCUAAUCUGCUCUUGAGAGGAUUUUUAGAGAAAAGGGUGUAUUUUGGUGUAAAUGAGGCUUAAUCUGGUGUUUAAGCCUUAUAUAGGGUUGGGAAAAUUACCCCUUUACCCUUAAAAAGAUGGACAUUUAAUGACUAAAUAACUGGGCACCGAUACUAUGAGUGACGCGGUGCGUCGAGGGCUACGAUGCUAUACCCAACGUGGAGCUCCAUAAAAGUGUCGAGCCUCAGUUGUUUUGUCUCUGGCAGUCUGCAUAACUGGUGACCAACGUGAUUGGCGACGCGGUGUGCCAAGAUUGCGUUGGUCCACUGUUUUGGUCUUCCAAUCUUGAUCUAAACGAAUUUUCAAAAAAUUCAAAACUUUUCCGGGAACACCUAUUGACCUUCCUGAUCAUGAAUUAAUAAAAAUACGGACCAUCAAAGCACAUUAAGGUGGUGAAAUGAAUUUGCCAACUUUUGAAGGACAAAAUUAAGAUAAGUCAAGAAUGUAGCAAAAAGUUUCAAUGUCUAAGACCCCCUUGACAUGCUUAAAGGACUGUAUUAAGCUUUAGAAUUUUAUGGGGACUUACAUAAGGUAUAUCAUAUGAAGUGUAAAUUCCAAUAAAAUUAAGGAGGUGCAUGUUUGCGUUAUCAGUCGGCAGGCCAACAAACACACCUUUCAAAUUCAAUAACUGAAUCAUAGCACUAGUAAUGUCAAACUUUACCCCCUGGAGCAACUCAGGAGGAAUAAUGGAUCCUAUCUCGAUAGACUCUACAUACCCCAUGUCUUCAUCUAGAUCUUCAUGGGCUGGCAAAUAUUGAAAAGAUGGGGGUAAUGGAGAUCUGUCUCUUCUACCUUUGUUGAGUGCUGCUUGAUAAUUAGCUUUUUACCUCUAUCUCAUUCUCUCUGCCUCCUAAGCUGUAUACUAGGCAGUCUCAUUAUCCUUUCACACAUUUGCUUUUGCUAAUAACCACAUAGUGGAAUACUCUAUUGUAUUUUGAAGAAGUGGGGGAGACAAAUCCCGUGGAUCAUCUUGAGGCAGCUCAUGAUGAGCUUUACGACCGUGUUGUGACAUCAUAUAAUUCUGUCAUAGGAUUCUUUCUGGCUCUAGAUCCAAUGGGAUCAAGAAAUUUCCUUGUUUCCUAGUACUGGGCAUACAUUGGCAUAUGCCAUAAGAAGAAUAGAAAAGUAAAAGACAAAAACCUUAACAACUUCAAUCAAUAAAUCCUCAACCAUAUUCCUCGACAACGAUGCCAAAAUUUGAUGUCCCCCAAACUAUACCCUCCAAGAAGAUAUAAUGCGGUUACUGUCAAAUUAUAGUAAUCCAACUAGGUUGGGGUCGAUCCCAUAGGGAAUAGGCCAAAUCUAUUUCUUGAACUUGUUGAAGUAGCAGAAAGUACAGAAAAGUAAAUAGGGGGAUUUGUAGUAAGCAGUAAGAAGUAACAGGUUGUGAAUGCCUUCAAUAGUUUAAUAAUUUGAGAUGACCACUAGGACUAUGUUCCCUUGUGUUCCUAACUCUGUAGAUUUAUUGUGAUCAAUACUAUCUCACUGCCAUACAUGCAGAAUCUAAUAAGCUAGGUAUUACCAACCGUCUUGUGAUGCUUUGAUAAAUCUCACAUUUCACCUUGUAAGUCUUAGGGUGUCACCUUACUAACCCGUGUCUUUGAUACUAGUUUAACUACUCCCUCCAUCCUAUUUUAUGUGUCCCCAUUUGACCGGGUACAAAGUUUAAGAAAUAAGUGAAGACUUGGUAAAUUUUCCAAAUUAUCUUUUAUCAAAAAAUGUGCCAAUAUCUUUUUUUUUUAGUUAAGUGGGACCAAUAAGGCUAAAAGGGUAAUUGUGCCUUUAAAAAGUUGUCAAAUAAGGAAAGGCGACACUUAUUUUGGGAUGGAUUAAAAAAGAAAUGAUGACACAUAAUUUGGGACGGAGGGAGUAUUACCUUUUGUAUCAAGUUAUUAGACGAGGGUUGAUAGCCUCGAAUCUUUGUUGUAACCUUCUUUUCCCAAUCUCAAUCCCUCUUGUGAAGACUAUCUUAAAUACAGACAGGUUCUUAGCAUUCCACCACUAAGAAAAUAAUUAAACUGAAGAAGAUCAUAAUGCAAGUGUAAACACUGAUCUAGAAGAACCUCACACUUCCCCUAUUUUGUUAUUCUUUAGGGUUCCCACAACCCUAGCUUAGGGAUUUAGUCGCUCUAGUUGCAAGAAACACAACGGAAUUUAAUAAAGAAAGCAAAGAAGUCAUCUCACAAUAAUAGAAGAAUAAGACCCAAAGUCUCAAACCAAUUAAUCAACCAAAAACCAAGAACACAAGAAUUCCAAGAUUAAAAGUCAAUCUUGAAAUUAAUAUAUGUUUGUGAAUAAUAUGAGUUCGUAAAAGUGCAUAAACUAACUCAAAAACAUCAUAAGAAUAUUUUUAUAUUACAUAAAAACAUGGAAAUCUAAACCAAAACAUACAGGGAAAACUAAGUCGGUGGCCACUUAUGGCCCCACUUACGCACCGUAAGUGGCACCUAUGCCACGUACAUGGCCAUCAUAGGUGACAGGAUCCUCAAAUCUUUAGCAAUUUUUAUGCACUGGUACCUAUGGGAUGUAGUUGGUACCUACAUCCCGUAGGUUUUCUCCUCAUAAGUACCAUAGGAUCCUUAUUCCUGCAGCUUCUCUGAACUUCAAUAAUCUACAGCUUAUAUGACUUAGGUCCUUCAUCAUAAGUGGCACUUACGCUCCAUAUGUGCUCCUUUGUCAGUGUCAAAUCAAGACAUCACUUUCAAGUUCUUUGAAUUUAGUUCUUCUGAGACUUACGACUGCUUCCUACACUAUGUAAGUGCUACCUAUGCCACGUAGGUAGCCUCAUAAGUAGGCUUUUAUGCAAUCUUGACUCUUUUUCUUCCCUUUAAGAUCCAAUGCCUAGUUCCCUGAAAAAUAGACACAAAACACAUCAUAUUUACCAAAACAAACAUAAGUAUUUGCAUCUUUUCUGAUUUUAAGCAUCGAAAGUACCAUGAAACCAUGGAACACCAGCUUCCAAGCUUGAACUAAUCCAAAUACACAAAUCGACCUUACUAUCCAUAUCAAACACAUCCUUACCAAAUUAUGCCAAGACAAAGUUGAAGUACAGGUGAAGGACAAAAUCAUAACAGAGGAUAAAUCACCAGCUGAAAACACAAGAAAUCAACUUCACAUCUGCUAGGGGGAAUGAACCACCAAAGCAUGCCCAAGAACUCACCAAGGCUGCAAACUAUACUAGAGAUAACCAAAACUCUAGCAAUUUGGUGAAAUGCAACUUUAGCUAAAAACUAGAGAAUUCAAUACUCCAUCUCAACACGAAUACCCAGUUUACCAACUUUAGAAACAAUCACAGGAAAGAUCACCUAUCUCCAACUCUCCAAACUAUACUAAGAUAAGAACUAUACGACGGUAAGAACGAAAGAUUCAACCCAAACCAAUACAAAAAAAAAA
rnacentral:lncRNA from 1 species